rnacentral:lncRNA from 1 species
UUUUUUUUUUUUUUUUUAAAAGGUUAAUUGAGGGACAUCUUCCUUCAAGACUCAAAACUAAUGGGUUAAAUUAAGAAUUUUAAAAGAAACAGUCAAUUGAGCGACUCCUUUCUUUAAGACUUAAAAUUAGUGGGAAAUUUUCAAAAAUUUUCAUCUUCUUCCCCGAUCCACUAUACCUGCAUCACCUUCUUCCUUCUAUCCCCCUCCACUAUUACUACCUGCCACUCUCUUCUCUUUCCUCUUCCUCCUCCCCUGCCCUACCCUAUUCUCUCUUUCUUCUCUUUCCCAAUUCCCGGCCCUUCCUCUCUCUCCCCCACUCCAUCAUGAAUGAUUUAUUGAAAGGUUGGAGAAUGGGGAAGUUCCAAAAAAAAAAAAAAGAAACCUUGUGCUCAACUUCAACAGAAAAUAAAAAAUGAGUGCAAUUUGUUCUCUGCAUAAAGCACAAAUUUAAGUUCUCUAUCUUGUUCUUCUAUAAUUAAGGAUAUGGAGUGUUGAUUCUCGAUCUUUGCAUUAGUUGCAUGAAAAAGCUUCAAAUAGGAGUACAAGAGAUUGAUAACAUCCAUGCAGUAUCCCAAUCAGAUAAUUUGUAUAAGGUGUAAUUUAACUUUUCAAGUUCAACAUAAGGAAGUCAAAAUUAUCUCUGGAACUAAAACCUUGUCAAAAGAUCUAUAAGGUUGAUGUUUCUCAUGUGACAUGAAAUUUCACCUAGCACCCCUUUCAUGAUCUGGACAAGCUUUUCUAGACAUUGUUUAUGAGAGUACCAUAGAUCCGUAACUCACUCAGAGACUGUGUGUCUAGUGAACUAAAAGAAGGAGCCCUCUCGUUCUUGUGACCAGAUUUGGUCACCGAGGAGGAGUGGGAGAGAAAGGGAGGUCCCGGAAGUGGGAUGAGGGAGAGAGGAAGAAGGGUAUAAGAUGAGAGAGGAAGAAACUGAGGAAGAGGAGAAAGAGAAGAGAGAGUAGGGAGGGAAAGAAGAUGUGAUGAUAGUGGCUGGUGGCUAGGAAGGAAGAGAGAGGUGGUGGCACUAAUGGUAGUGAAGGAAGAGGGAGAUGGGGGCGUGGUGACAGUGGAGGAAGAAGAAGAGAAGACAAAAAAAAAAAAAGGAAAUUAAGGAAAGGAAAAUUAAAAAAAAAAAUAUAUGACGUGUUACUAAUAAUAUAGCAGGUCAAAAAUUACCUUUCCAUUUUAGCUAAAAGUAUAAGAUGGUUAUAUGAGGGUUUUUAAAUAAUAAUGAAAUUUUGUGUCUUUUGGUGAUAUCACAAGAGUGUACAUGUAUUUUACCCUAUUAUUAAAUAAUCCCCUCUCAGCCUAGCUAACAUGGUUUCCAUGACAAAGAAAUAUAUACAAGAAAAAGCAUCUACUGCCAUGCUGACUCGACAAAGACAACGCUUCAUAGUUUAAAAAUAUUUCAAAAUGCUAUCGGGCACAAUCAGCAUGACAGCGCUUUAAGUUAUAAAUAAAUAAAUAUAUAUAUAUAUAUAUAUAUAUAUAUAUAUAUAUAACUUGCGAUGCACAAUCAGCACGGUGGGCAUAUAUUUAAAACAUGACUUUGUCGAUUCAGCAUUUGUUAUUAUUAUUAUUAUUAUUUUAGUAAGCUUGCCAAAGAAAUUUGGUUUAAGAGCAAUUUCGCUUUGCUUCCCUAUUUUGUACUCAACUCUCACUUUGACCCUGAACUUAAAUUUUAUAUACAUUAUACCCUAAAUCUCAUAUGCAUCUCAUUUGAAUCUAUCUCAUUUAAGAGCCCAUCUGAUAAAACUGAAGUUUAAAAUCUAAAUUCUUAAUUUUAAAAAUUAAGUACUGAAAGUAUUAAAUUGCCAAAUGAUUUAAAUUAUAUCUGUUGAUAACUAAUUGGAUUAUAAUGCUGAAUUGAAAUAUUGUACAAAUUUUGUGUUUCUAUGUUUUAAAUUGUCUUUAUUUGUAUAUUUGGAGAAAAAAUGUGUGUGUGUGAGAGAGAGAGAAAGAAAAUAAUGAAACAAUUUAGAAGUGGUGUUUAAGUGUGUGUGUGUGUGUAUUUGUAUGAAAGAGAGCGUGGGUGGAUGCGUGUGUGUCUAUGUGUGUGUCGAGUAUAAAGAAAAUAAACUUAUAUCAUGUGCCAAAACAAAUGAGAGUGUCUUAUGUAUGUGAGGGGUAUAGUAUGUGUAGUAAAUUCAUAAGGUUCAGUAAAAAAAUUUAUUUAAAAUUUUGUAUUAAAAUUUUAUGCACAAAUUAAGCAAUGGUUAAUACAAUAAGUGGAAAGGCAUUCUGUUAUGAAACAUGCUAAAUUCAAAAAACUCUGAAUGGAUUAAUUUCAGCAUUAAAUAGAAUUAUCAAACAAACUCUAAGUCUAAUAUUUAAAACUGCCAAAUAAAAUUGACCAAUGAUAAUAGUGUAAAAUAAUUUAAAAAAUGCCAAUUCAAAAUCAUACUUGCUGCCUUUUGAAGCUAUCCAUAUAUUUUAUUAAGGAUUAGAUCGGAAGGAAUUCCAGGUUUCCAUUAGACUAGUAGAGUUCGUAAAUCCAUUUCUUUCUUCUCCUUUGUCUACUCCAAAGAACAAAAAAUACUCCAAUUCAUCCACCCCAAGCCCAUAUUCUAAAUUUUUCUUCAUUGGAAUGGUGCUACAAAAAUGAAGUUUUCCGUAUGUUCUAGACAAAAUUCUCAGAUCUACUUCAUUAAUUUUCAAAAUAAAAUUUUAAUAUCCAUAUUACAUAAACAGCCUCAAAAAUUAAGAAAGUGACAUUAAAAUUCGGAAAAAUAGCAUAAUCAAUAAAUUUCAUUGGAACGAUAUUAUCAAAAAGAACAUCUACAUCUUUUGUUUUUCCCUUGGGAUUUGAUGUAUCAAGUGUUCUAAAGCAUUAUGUCCCCAUUUGGAUAGUAGAUUAUUUACCCAAUUUUAUUUACUAGCAUCAUCAACACAUUUUUAAUCACUUUUUUGGAUGUUUACUGCUUUACAAUUUUAAGAUUUUUACUGGUUUACACAAAUAUUGUGGUACAACUCAAGGGACUCACCUUGACAAAAUAGAAAACCUAGAAGGACUCGACUGCAAAGUAACAUUUCUCUAUUCACCAAACCGACAUCCAUGAGCUCCGAUUCUCUAAUUAGGGCACAAUUAGACAGACCCCCAUUAUAUAAAAGAAAAGAAGAGGCAGAAAAAAAAAUAAACAUAAAAAAAAUCGGAGAAAUUUUCCGAAGAAGAAUCAAGAAUGUCGACCAGGGUGGCUCUGAAGGCGAAAGGCGGCAAGUCCAAUCGGAACAAAGCCUCGGCGGCUGCAGCUGGAGAGGAAGACGGGCCGUCGACUGUGAAGAUUGUGAAAGACUGGACCAAUUGGGGUCUCCACAAAGCAAAAGUCGUCGCGCACUAUGGAUUCAUCCCUUUGAUCAUUGUAAUCGGGAUGAACUCGGAGCCAAAGCCCUCUUGGGCUCAACUCUUAACUCCCGUGUGAGAAAACUGGAGAAUAGCUUAUCAGGGCCACGACCCAUGUUCUUGAGAUGAAGUAGAAAAAAAUGGGUUUUAUUUAAUUUGAUGCUUACUGGGUCGGUUAUAGUAUUUGUCGAUUUCACAACUGGUGUCUAGUUUUCGUGAUUUUGGAAUGUGGGGGCUUUUUUUUUUUUAGUGUAAUGGGAUUGUGCUAUUUUUAGCUCAAUUAUGAACUAUCGCUGUGUUCUUGGGAUUUCUUAACACUAUUAUGAUGUGAGUUUAGAGCCUUUUGCUUCUUCGGUGAGUAUGUGUUUUCAUCGAUCAGUCUUUGUUUCAUUUUUUUUUUAUUUUUUGGUUUUUUUGACUUCUUAUUAUUGUUUAAAGUUGGUAUUGUGGAAAAUCCGUUUUCCCCUGUUGAAAGUCGGAGUUUUGAGUUGGAAGAUUGAAAGUUGAUGAGUAGUUGGAAUUUCCUUGGCUUUAUUUGUAUGUGUUUUGGGGAAUGGUGGUUGACUUGUCUGGUGAAAUAUUAUCAUUGAAACUUAAGAAGCCGAACUUAGUUAGAGUAUUGCUAUUAACGGCCAUUUGGUUGAGCAAAUGUGUGGGGUUGGAUUAAGAAUAUGAAUAGGUCCAUACUUACUGGGCAUUAGUUGUACCUGUUCCUCUAGGAUAUAAUUGUUUAUUUGCUUUUGUUGAUGGUGAUUUUUGAUAUAUUAAAUUGGGCAAUUGUUGAUUUGAGGAAUAUGGGAAGAUUGCGCAGUCAAGCUUGAGUUUGUGUUUCUGUCCUUUUUGGUACGGUUCCUUCUAGAUGCAUAGUUGGUUAUGCUUUUACCAUGUACUGAUAUUGUUGCGAGUUGGACUGGUAUGGUUCCAAGCUCUGUGCUCAUGCUUGUGAGAGAGCUAACUUUUCUUCUCAUGCAUGGCCUGGUAUGGGUUUACUAACGUGUUGCAGCAUAUAUCUUGGAAUUACCUUGUUUUAGGAAGGAAAUUUUGUUUUUCAACUAGCAUGGUGUCUUAUUUUAAGUAGUGCGUCAUCAGUUGCAUUUCUUUUCUUAGUUGCAGUAGUAUACUCUUGCAGUUGGCCCCCCCGGGGCGCGGCCCGCAGUGGGUUAUAGCUGUUAGUUCUCCUAUUUUUCAUUGAUUUUCCUACUGCAGCCUUAUAUAACCUUUCUUUAUGCGCUGCGACAUUUUGGUAAUCAUGGAUUUGUUAUCACUACAGAAAUAAAUAAAAGCUUCCCUUUCAGUUGAACUUGAUGGUUUUAAGCUUAUGAUGCUAGUUUUUGCCUCUUAAACUUGGGUGCAAGUUCUAAAACUGUUUUAAUUUUUUCCACCAGACAAAUCAAGUUUUAGCACUGCCUGCUGUUCUCCCAUGACUUUCUUUAAUGGUAGACUCUCUUUAAACAUUCAUCAUCUGGCUAUGGAAACUUUAACUUCUGUGCUUCUUUCUGCUUCUCAAGGGUAGUUCAGGUCAUCUUUGGCAUUGUGUAAUCUUAUCAUUCUUCUUAGCUUUGCGAUAUAUGUGUUAAAAUGGCAUUUCAUCUGAGAGUUCCACUGAGCAUAAAUUGAUUGAACAUAUCCCUUCGCUGUUCUUGUUAACAUUUCUGUCCUUUUGACCUUCUUCUACUUCACUCUUUUAUCUAUCACACUAGAGUUUUUUUGGACUAUAGAACUCCUUUAAUCUCCAUGAUAGAUUCAGGCAUUUCUGCUGUUAUAAUGGUCUAACCUUUUUGAAUACGUGCACUCUGUAGCUGAAUGAGGGGGCCAGUGAUAUGAGCUUAAGGAAGGUAACUGGUUAUAGAGGGAGUCAAUAGAAACCUUAGUGUAUGUGUACAGUCUAAAUUGAUAAAAUAUUGUGAAAGGGCCUGUAGAGCAGUUAAACUUUUUAUGUAAUCUUGUACUGUAUAUUCUUUAGGAUACUUGUAUCUAGAAGCAUUGAUUCACAGGGCAAGAUUUAAUUUAGAACAAUGACAUGUAUAGUUACUCUCAAAAAGGGACUUCUGUACAACUUCACUCAUUUUUCUUGAAGUACCCUAUUUUCUCUUUCCUCUUUCCCUUCUCACUCAGUCUCUUUCCCUCCAUCACACAUCUCGUCAGACCUAUAACCCCUCCUUCUGCCACCACCUACUAGCCUGAAUUAUUCUCGGCCUAGUUAUCUUUCUUCCUGGGAUAUAUACAUUCAUUCAUCCCUUUUUAUCUCUCCCAGUUCUGCAACAACAUCCGUGGUGAUCGGUUGCAUAUUAGGUGGAAAUGGGCUGGCAUCGGCUUUGUGGUUAAUGGGUGUAGAUUGGUGUGACGGUAUAUGUGGUGGUUGGUUGUGGACUUGUAUGUAGAUGGUAUGGUAUCAGCCAUCCAUGGUGGAUUAGUCUGAUGGUUUCGGUGGUGGGCAGUUGCGAAUUGGUCGGGUUAUGGUGAAGGUUUCGUUGUUGUGGGUAAUGGGGGUGUAUUCGUAUGGUGUUUGAGGUGGUGGUUGACUGCAGUCGUAAGUUGCAUAGGAUAUGAGGAGGGAGGGGAAGGGGUCAAAGUGGGACUAGGAAAAGAAUGGAGAAACAUUAGGAGUUGCCAUGUAGGUGGCAUUUGCAUCUUACGUUUUAAAGUUAGUAAUCCUAUAUUGUUUCAUUUAUAAGCAAUUAAGUUUUGGUAUAUGCUACUGUGAAUACAUCUGCUGGAAGCACUUUGUAUUGGGUUUUCUCCAUCAUUUGACCAUGUUUGUUUUGAACAUCCCCUUCCCGUGGGGGUUGAGUUGGUUAUUCCUUGUGAGCUACACCAAAGCUAUAUGGAGAGGGUGCUUAAGCAAGUUGACAUUGGUUUCAUGAUUAUAUUGGCAAAGUUACUGCUUGAUCCUCCUGGCCCAUAUCGAGUUACCUUUAAAUUUCAAGUAACAUUAAGUUUACGUUAAGCCCAGAAGUUCUUUUCAAGUCUCUAUUUCUGGUAAUUUCAUACGUCUGAUAUAACUUGGCUAUUGGCAGAGAAUCACUAUAGAUUCACAAUUUACAGGACCUAGCAGUAUUCCCUUCCUUUUUUUUUUUUGGCUUAUUGUUUUGUGUUCGAUGUAUCUUUUUGUUGUGAAUGUUCGUGUAUGUUCUCUUUUUUGUUGCAUUUGUGUCAUCGAAUCUCACUUUGAAAUGGGUAUGGCUCACCCAGGUGUAGCUUUGGGAAAACUGAUCUGGUAUAUUCAAAAGUAAUUCAGUUUACUCUACAUUUAAAUUUCUUUUACCUGAAGUUUUGUUUUAGAGUUAAUUAGACUAUGCACGCUGCACUUUGGAUGCUGCUCUGUUGUACGUACAAGGCUUCUACUCUUGUGCUUAGCUUCUAUUGAUCUCUGCCUUCAAUAUUUGACUGUAGAAGGCGUCUGCGCUUUGUGCUUUUCUUCUCGAGCUACCGGGCUGUGCUUAAUUUAUUUGCUGCCUCUUCUCUGCAUUGUCUCAUUUCGGCAAGUCUUUUUUUUUUUUUUUGUCCAAAAAAAAAGGGCCUGAUCCCACUUCACCCCCAACCAUUAUUUGGGUUGUUGGGUUAUUCCCCAUUUUUAUUCCCCAUUUCGGCAAGUCUUUUGCUUUAUCUCUUUUGUUGAUGUGUUUCAAAUAAGAUAGUGUAGCAAUUACCACACAAUGUAACAAUGCUCUUGAGACGCGAAAUGUCUGUGGAAAAGGGGGUUUAGGCGUUUAGCUCGAGAUUAGUACCUAAAAAGAUGCGUCUGAUGAGCUUGUAACCAUUGGUUUGGCAAGGACAUUGUGAUAUUGGAGCCUUCAACACUUUUAUUAAAGAAGGGUUAUUAUCACUUUAUUUCUUUAAUUUAUAUCAUUACAACCAGUUUACUUACUAACGUUGUCUUUUAGUUACUUCACCUCCAUAGAUAAUUUAACUCAACAUGUUAAGAAAUUUUGGACAAAAUAAUCCUUUUAUUCUAUAGCAUUAUUACAUUGUUAUUAUCACUUUAUCCCUUUAAAUUAUAGUAAUACAAUCGAUUUAAUCGCAUUUUACCUUAUUGUUAAUCUAGUCAGUAUGGUAAAAAAAAUUUAAAUGCAUUUACCCCUUUUAUAUAUAAUUAAAAGUAAAAAAUUGGAAUGGUUAUUCUUCCUUUCGUUUUCACUUUAAGAGAUCCAAAAAACAUAAAAAUAAAGAAUUUUCUCAUAUUUCUUUGUUCACACUUAUUAAUAUUAGGAAAAGAAAAAGAGAUAGGAGAGAAGGAGAUGAAAAAUUAGAUUUUACGAAGAAAGAAAAUAAAGAAGAGUCUAAAAUUAUCGUAUUAUUUUAAGGUUGUUGGGAUUAAAUUUGAAAUUGGGUGAUAAACAGAAAAGUGAAAUAAUUUUAAAAUAAUAAAAAUAUUAAAUUUUUUCUUAUUUGUAUUUUUUAAAAAAAUAAUUGAGCGCUCUCUCUCCCACCCCCCUCCCUCCCAAUCUUUCUAUUUUUUUUUAAAAUAUUAAUAAGAUUGCCAAGAUAAAAGAAAUUACUACUUUGACUUUUUUUCUUGAAACUAAAAAGGAAAAGAGUCAUUCUAAAUUUUUUAUUGUUUUCAUUAUACAAAAAGGAGAAUACUUUCUUUUAAAGUUUUUUAACUUGUUAAGUUGGUUUAAUGAUGGGAUAAAUUGCCUAAAAAUAACUCUACGAGGUAACUUAAUAAUAAAACUAUAGUUUAUGAGGGUAAAGUGAUAAUAAUUAUAAGAGCUAAAUAUGUCUUUUCACUUUAAUUAACAAAUUUCGUUAAGUUUGACCGUUAGUUUUGGAGGUAAAUUGAUUAAAAGGUAAUGUUAAGGGGGAAAUUGAUAGUGAUAUCAAAUGUUAAGAGGAUAAAGUGAUCGCCUACUAUUAUAUUUAAUAGUAGCUUUUCUUUAUCCUUUGCUCCAUAAAUCCAUUGCAUUUUUUUAUAUAUAUAAAUAGAGGAUUAGUUUUGAUUAAGCCCACCCAAACAUAUAGUGAUUAAUCUUGCUGGAAAUUAAUUUCUACAAUUUGUCAACAAAAUAAUAACCAUUUAUUGUUUGGAUUGUAGUUUUCUAAGGAAAUUUUUUUUAUAUUUUUCGUAAGCACAGUUAUCAAUUGCUUUUAUAUCUCAUAUACAUUAGAGUGCUACAAUAAUUUUUGCUACAAUAUCUCAUUUGUCUCAAUAUACAUUAGAGGUUACAUUUUUUUUUUUUGAUUUGCAUGUUUUUUGUUUUUAUUAGUGGAGCAAACAAAAUUACAAAGAGGAAGGCAAUAACCUUACCUCCUAGAGUACAUGGUCAGAUCUCACAGCUAAAAAGAUCAGAUUACCACCUAACUCAAAAAACGCAAGUUAGGGUACCCUAAUCUAUCCAAAGUGAGGUCUCUGCGCACCAACCUUGGCAGUUGCAAAACCGACUCAUAGACAAUAUUAGAAGCCAACUCCGUCCCAAUCUUAGAUAGCCUAUCGGCAGGAACAUUCGCUUGACGGUAACAAUGAGUGACGGAAUGGAAACAAUGUCGAAAAACCAUCCACUCGUCCAACUCUGUUUGAAAACCCCAUGGACAUCUACCAACCCCCUUAACCAUUUGAACCAAGAGCAAAGAAUCCGAUUCCAAGUGCAGGCAACUGAAACCUCGCAAAACACACAACUGAACUCCAAAUAACAUAGCCUUCAACUCUGAACGUAGGCUAGACGUCUCUCCCCAAUAACCCACAAAACCUAAUAGGAAUGUACCUGCACUAUCCCUCAACACCCCCCUUCUCGACUCCUUCCCGGAUUACCCUUAGAGGUUACAUUUAAUCUAAUUUAUAUCUCAAUAUACAUUAGAGAGUUCAUCUAAUCUUUUCUCAACCCUAUCAAAACGAUCAGAGGUUAUAUUUGCUAAUUUUUCUAUAGUUAAUUUCCAAGAUGAUUUAGAUUCAUAUUGGACACACUUGGAUUGGUAAUCAUAUAAACAUAGAGAAGCAUUAUAUGCACAUUGAUUAUCCCAACCAUUAGUAUAAGAAUUGCCCGAAUUGAGAUCAUUUUAAUCAAAACAAGGAUUGCAGUGCCCAAAUUCAUCAUAAUAAUCCACAUUUUGUACUUGCAUACAUGUACAAGUAACAUGAUAACCUCCACACAAGUCACAAAUCACAUGAUAAGAAUUAAAAGUAUUAACAUUGCUCUUUUGCUCAAGAAUAUGUGUAAUGGUGUCCAAUUGAACUUUUAACGUUAUAUAAUCAAAUUUAGCCUUUACACUCCUUAAACUGUUUUCAAAAGACAUACCUUCAGACACAUCUUGGUUACAUCUAUUCAAGGAGCUUUGCAUUGGAUAACAAUCCAUUGCCGAUCUUCUAUUUUUCAAGCAUUGUCCCCUUAUAUUUUCUACUCUCCUUGAAUCUCUAAACAUGUCUUCAAAGUAAUUCAAAAAGAAAUUUAGUCAAGAAGAAUAGGUGACUCGACACAUACAAAAAAAAAGACAUUAAACACAAAAUAAACAACCCAUCAAGACACUAAAUAUAACAAAAAGACAUUAAACAUAACCAAAACAACAAAAGCAAGUAAAAUAAUCUAAAUUAAUAAAGCAGUUCUUAGCACUAAUAUUGACAAAAUCUUUCCCGACAACGGCUCCAAAAACUUGAUGAACGUUGGGUAUACAUAUAAUAAUUAGCUCAUCCAUAGUCAAGUUUUAUAUUUAUAAAAUUCUAAAUACCCUACACGCGAUUUUUUGCAAGUACACGAGUCGUAAUUGAGUAUAGGGUAUUAAGGGUCAAACCCACAGAGAAGAUUGUCAAUUACUGAUGUUUUUCAAAUUUCUUUAUUAUUUAACCUAUCACAAAUGUAAAAGAUUAAAUCUAUGCUAUAAACAUGGAAUAAAAGGAAUAAAAAUAACAAUAGAAAACUCCUAAAGUAUGGAAUUUCUUACUACUUUUGUAAAUGAAGUUUCCAGUUAAUUGAAUGUUUGGUUAGUUAUGACAUAAUUUCCUAAUGUAUGUGAAUUCUACUUUCAUAGUGAAUCAACUAUAAUUGUAACUAAACCAUACCUACUCUCGUGGUUAUGUAAUUAACAACAAGUUCAUUCCUUCUAUGAAAUUACAUGAAACAAGUCACUAAAACCAUAUAGGUGCACGUCUACUCUCAUGAGUAUACUCCUUAGAUUUAUUACUUUCUUGAACUAGUGUUAAAUCUCAAUUCUCAUUACAAACUUAACAUCUUAAGAUUAUCACAAUUAAUGGUCGAUUAAUCAUGAUUAGAAAAGCAAAAAUGAUAAAUAAAUUGUUCAAAAUAAUAUCAUCAAAUAACUAAGUAAAUAUCACUAAUAAGAUAUAGCUAUUUCAUCCAUAACUUUAGACAUAAACUUUAGCUAAACAUGAAAACAAACGCCAAACUUGUAUUAUAGUUAAAUAUGAAUUCAAAUACAAAAAAAAAAGAAGUGAUAGGAGAGAAGUCACCAUUGUCACUUGAGUUUCAACCUCUCCAUCUUUACUCGUCAAAUCUUCAUUCAAAUCUAGCUACAAAUACAAGAAUGAUAAACUACACUAACUAUAUUAAUCUACUCUAACUAAUGAACUAAGGAAAUUAUAGUGAAAACUACAUUUUUGUGAAGUUUCUCUAGCCUUCCAAAGUUGUGAAAAUGGUCUCCUUGGCCUCUUUUUAUAGAUAGAUUCAAACUCAAGAUGAGUUGUUUCUAGUUGGCAAAAUUGUUUCUUGAAACUCUCAAAGGUUGCUUCUCAAAGUUUCCAUGCUCAUAUGCUCAUUUCUAGCCGAAAUCUUUUCAAAAAAGCUGGUCAAAAAAGUUGUGUGAAUAAAGCACAAGUUUCAGAGUAAGUUGCAACCACAAAACACAAAUAUGCCACCUUGAAAACAUGACCUAAGGCCAUGUAUCGUGCCCACAUUUUGCUCUUUUGCAGGUUUGCUCAUUCUGGGUAGAUUUCAUCAUUGCUUUAUGUUUUGUUCAAAUUCAACUGAUAGUUUCUUGAUAAUAGAGGCUAAACUAACUCUUGUACGAAACAUGAAAGUUCUAAUCCUUUGAGUUAGCUUUUCAAUGUAUGAAGAAUCAUCCAAUUUGAAGCUCUAUAGAUCAAGAACUGACCAAGAUACCCUCAACUUGUCAUAACUCUAUUUCAACUUUCGAUAACAAAGUUUCACUUUUGUAUUUUGACAUUUUGACAAGAAAAACGACUGAACUGGAUUUCGAUGUCUCAUACCAAAUGUAGAUCUAUCUCUUAGUUUCAAAAUGGUAUAAGAAUCACCUCAAUCCAAUGUUUGUAACUCAAAAUAUAGCUGAAAUAUCACAAGGCAUCAUAGAUGUCAAACUUCCUUCUUGUAUACUAAGUUGCAUUUCAUCUUUUGCACUUCAUAUUCUCUUUUUAUCACUUCAAACCAUCAUCAAUCAUCCAAUUAUCUUCUGAAUUCAUGCUAUUUGAUGAUUGAAUCAUUAAACCUACAAAACAUGAAGUUUUCGCCAUUAAAAUCCAUAAAAAUGUAAUGUUUACCACUUAAAUCAUAAAAUGCAUAUUUUCACUGGAAACUUAGUUCAUAAGUUAUAAAACUAAUUAAAACACACCAAACUAAUUAAUAAAACACACUUAAAAUACUCAAAAUACACACUUAUCACAUAUCAAAGGUUGUAGUUGUUAUAAUAGAAUGCAUAAAUAAGUAGCAAUAUAUCAAAGACUUUACAAUAUCACAACCUUAACAACCAACAAAAGUGAUACUCCUACUAUGAAGUUCUUCAAGUCUUCCAAGUCCUUCAUGGAUGCUGCGCCCAGGGUUUAUCCGGAGGAGGCCGCUGAUUUCAUGGCUUGUACGCUGAGAUGGGACAUGGGUAGAAGAGGAUCAUCAAAAGCUCUGUACAAGUUAGGCAAAGUGGUCGGCUCAACCCAAGGGAUACGACACUUCCAGAUGCAUGAAGAUGGAAUAAUUGAACUAUCGGGCUGCGUGAAUGCAAACAUGCUAAUGUACAAGCUAGGAAAGUUGGAGAAAUAUGUGGAGAUGCUGUGGUGGCAGCACGGACAAUGCUCCAGCUAUUUGGACGGACCAGACUGCCGGUAUUUCACCAGAGCACAACCUUACCCUGGAUAUGGUGGUGCCCCUAGUUAUGAUCGAGGAUACAUUGCCAGUUAUUAAGGCAUCAGCCGUUUGCAGUAGAAUGCAGGAUUCCCCUCUAUAAUCGAGUCUUUUAGUUUAUGGAGUUAUUAUGCCCAUUUGGCUUUAGGUUUUUUCGAGUCUUUUUCAAGUGUCUCUCGUUAUUGAAGUAGGAUUUGCUUGUUGACAUUGCUGAUGUUUUUCUCAGUCCUCGUGAACAUUAUUAUUAUUAUUAUUAUUAUUAUGUUGGAAAUAAAGUACUAUCAGUUUUAAGUAAAAAAAAAAAUCAAAGACUCUUACUAUUUGGAUACAUACAACCUAAGUAAGUAGAAUGCAUGAAUACAACCUAUUGUUGUGGUUCACUACUUAUGUUAAUAGUAAUAACAUAUCAUCGAUUGCAGUUGUUGUAAUAGACAAGUAAACAAAUCAGCAGCAUAUUAAAAUUGUAGUGGUUGUAAUAUACAUAUAUUAAUUGUUAUGAUAAGUAAAAGAUUGUAGUUAUUAAAAUAUAAAUUUCAAAUUUAAAAGUUUGAUAAUAUGUUCAUUUAAGUAUUAUGACAUUAGGAGUCUUUUCUUAUAAAAUAUAAAUAUAAUUAAUUAGAUUUACUACUGUACAGUAGCAAGUUAUUGGGAAUUAAUCACUUGAAGGAUAACAAAUCAAUAUUCUCUCAGUUUUGGAAACAACAAUGUUAGCCAACAAAGAAGAUUAACAUAUUCUUCAUUACUAAUAAAAUCAAUGAUUAAUCUAUUAGACAUUUUGAAAAAGAAGUAUAGUAAGCAUAGACAUGCAUCUAGUGUGCAAAGAAUAUUUGCCAUUCCUAACUCAAAAGGAAUUUUGAACAUCAUCUAUUUAUAUUUAGCACUUCAGUUUCUAGGUAAAAUCACUUUUUCACUUAAAAUUUUUCAAAAAUCUCACUAUUACAUCCCCGUUUGGAAGUUAAAUGUCAUGCAUUUAGAUUUAAUAGAGUAAAUGAAUUAUUACAUAAUAGUGUAGAAAUAAUCAAUCCUUUAUUUUUUUCAUUUAGAAAUAUAGACUACAAAAUUUGACUUGAUACAAAUUUGAUCUUCAUUUUCUAUAUGUGCUUUUACAUGAUUACUAGGAGAAUAUUUAUGAAAUUAUAGAAAUAGAAAAAGAAAAUAUAUUAAACUAUUCCACUUCCUAGUAUGUUUUCAAAUGCUUAAUUCCUUCCUCUACUCUAGUUUCAUCAUACAUCUUUCUUUUCCAUUUUUCAUGUCCACAACAAGGUUAUUCUUUCUUCUUAAUCCCUAAUCUCAUCCUUAUGGUUUCUUCCUCACUUUUCCUUGUCUCCUAUCCACCUAGCAAUGUUAUUUAUCUUAUGUUAUUCUUUAUUAUUUCCUUUUUUCAUAAACAUAAAACAAAAAAUAUAAUAAUAUAGGUACACAAAUUUAUAGAAUACUAAACUUGAAAGCUCAUUGUGCCAAAUAAUAUAAUUAUAUAAUGUAAUAGUUGCAAACACGUCAAGAUCUCAAACCAAAUUCCCAUGCUCACUCGCAGUCACACAAAUGUGGGGCACCUUCGUGUGGAUGAUUUCUUUGGAUUGAUCUGUUAUGUCUUUAAAAUUCCUUCAUAUGCGCGGAUGUUUCUUUUCCUUUAACAGAGGUCAGGUUUGGGCCUCGCUAAUUUGAUGUACUUUUUUUUGGUUAUAAAUAAAUUAAGGGAUGGCAAAAAAAAAAAUAGUUGAAUUCUUACCAUUUUGCUGUUCGGUAUUGAAAUGUCUAUUAGUCCAUUUUUAAAAAAAUGUAAUAUUUAAUUUCUAACUUUUAAUUCAGCUUGAUUAGGUUCAAAAUCAAAGUUUGUAUUACAUGUUUGAUCCAAUACCAUCAUGAUAUGUUUGAGUCAAGAUUAGCUCAAUUAUGUCAAAACUUGAAUUGAGCCAUCUACAUAUGAAAUGCACACUUGAGUUUCUUUUGCACCACAUAUUCAUUUUUUUAAUUAAAUCAGUAUAAAAAUCAUACAUUACUUAAUUUCUAUAAUUGUGAUUUCACUUGACAUUUUUUUUAUUCAUUCAUUACUGAUGUUUGCAAAAUAUGUCUUAGAUAAUUAAUGAUCUAGAUAUAUAUAUAUAUAUAUAUAUAUAUAUAUAUAUAUAUAUAUAUAUAUAUAUAUAUCCGAGAUCAAAUAAGUUAUAAUUUUGCUUUCUUUCUUAAUUAUAACAGCAUGUUGGCUCCUAUGAAUUUUUCUUUAAAUGGUAACUACAUAUUUAUAGUUUUUGUUUCUCUUCCUCCUCCUCCUCCUAGUUUAUCACUGAAAGCGUUUGAAUGAAAAAAAAAUUUUACGUGUACAAUAUCAACCAAGUCACUUGUGAGAGUUAAUAUAUAUCUUUAGAUAUGUACUUCCGUUUACUAGAAUAUUCCAUGUGAAAUUUUAUUUAAUUAUUGCUUGUCAAAGUAAUGAAAAUAUUUCUACUAAAAAGGAUUGAAAUGAGAAACUUGUAGUUCUUCCAAUUCCCAUCAAUAUUUUAGGAGAAAAAAAUCAUCUUACUCUAGAUUAAGUUUUUUUUGCAUAUGCUUAUCCCUCUUCCUGAUAUCUAAGAGUCAGGGAUUGGACUCCCUAUUAUUAUCAAACUAGUUGCAGGAUACAAUUAAUGGUUUAUACGCAUUUGAUUUGAAGUUGGAUGGAUGAGAUUGAUGGUACGGCAUAAAGUUUUAGUGUCAAAUUUUUUUGUUUUAUCCAUAUGCUUAUUUGUUAUGUUAUUGAUAGGUUGCAUUUUUGUUAUUAAAUUUAUGAUCAUUUUUCCAUUGAUUUUAGCCAAAUAUUGCAUUAAUUGGUUGAUUUUACUCAUAAUUGGUUAUUGGUGUUAAUUGUUGAAAAAUGGAGCAAAAAGUAGUUAAGGGAGGCAAUUUUACAAAAGAUUAUGAACCUGUUCCAUGUGAGUGCGCCAAAGUCCAGCUGUCAAGUUCGGAAAGCUCAGGAUUUUUCAAGCCCACGAAGCUUUCCUAGUUCGAGUUGAACUCCGAGCAAAUUUUGGUUGAAGAUUUAGGAGAUAUCUUUAUUAGUCAUAAGAUUUAGUUAGGAAACAAUGGAAAUUAUUGUUUGAAGUUUCCUUUUCCACAUAGGAGUUUACUUUAUUUUAGCAAGCUAUAAACUAGGAGAAAAAGUAGGAAUUGGGAUGGCCAGUUCCGUGUGAUUAGUACUUCCAAAAAGAUAGAGAAUUGCAUGGGGACUCUUUAUAUCAGAAGCAAGAAACAAAAGCUCUGUUUUCUUUUCCGGCUGGAAGAAAAUGACAACCUCAGUUCUUCUUUUGUCUUUUCCGUAGCCGUAUGUGUCUAUCAAUUCACCAUACUUUUGCGUUGGGAUUUUUUUUCAACGAUGAGAUAUUAAUUUCCUUCUCUAGUCGAAUGUCAACUUGAAAACGCGAUUCCAAACAUCUGUGAGAUCGAAUUGAUUUUUAUUUGUUUCUUUUGAUUCAUCGGUAUUCGUACAUUUUCUGAUUUAAUUUAUUAUGAUUGUAUCAUUGUUUGAAUGUCAAGGGUCCGAUAUUUGAAUUAACCUAAUAAUCUACUACCAUAUUAAUCGAUUAAAUUCAUAAUUAUUUGAUUGAUUAAUAUUAGUGGCGACUAGCUGAUUGAUCCCAUAUUAGGAAAACGUAUGAUCUAAGUUAAAUAAACCCUCAUAGUAUGUUUGUUGGUUAGAGUUGGAUUUUUCUAAUUUUUAAUACAAUCUGAAAAUUAAAUUCUACGGUCAUACACAAGGUUGUCUCUUGGUUAGGAAAAUAAUUAACGGUCAUACCUUGACUAUUGAUAAAGUAAGGAAAAGUUAGCUGUCAGAAUUUGUUGAUAGCUAUAACCAUUCUAUUAAUGAAUAAUGGAACUAUCUUUGCAUCGAUGAUCAGCUAUGUGGACCGUGUCUGAAAAGCUGCACCUUUGGUUAGAAACGUAUUUAUUAUUGAUUUAAUUCCUAUUUAUUUCCGUUAGUUGUUUUAUUAGUCAGUUAAUUAGUUAUUUUUUCAUUUUCCAAAACCCCCAUUUAAUUCUUGCUUUAGAAGGAAAUAAAUCAUCCCGUCCUUGAGGAGACAACCCUACUUACCGCUAUAUUUAAAUUUAAAUUUUUAGAGUAGAAAUUUUAAUUUUGGUGGUUUGACACCCAUCAAUUAUACUACAUCACGAUGAAAAUUGUUUGGUGCAAUUGACAUGGAUAAUUGCAGAAUUGUGGCGUGGCAAUGCAUGUUGUGGCCAUUAUGCAUUGCAAUGUCUAUUCAAACUACAAGUACAAAUUUUUUAGUAUAAUACUGACAGAAUAGGUACAAUAUGGAAAGUUAUAUAUAAAUCUUUAUUUAAAAGUAUGAUUAAAAAUUCAAUGGAGAGAUACGAGUUCUUCAAGAUUAUGUAUAUAAAUUCAUAUGUGAAUAGUGUGAAUGUGUUUGAAAGUUAAGGAACAAAAAAUUCAAUUAAAUUGUUAGUGAUUGUCAAAGAUUACACCACAUUGAUACCAACUUUAACUCUUUAUGCGUAUGUGAGACAUUAAAUCAAAUAAAUUUUUAUAAUCUUAUUUCAUUUAUGCAAAUAUAUAAAAUGAUAUAAAUCAUUUUUUUAUUUUGUAUAUUACUUGCUGGAUAUGCCAUUAUUUUUACACAAAUUUUAUAAACCUUUUUCAAGAUUGAAGUGUUAUUCAUGAUGUAUAGUACACCAAAAUGUAUUACUUAUUUUAUAGGAUAGCUAAAAAGUAUUAGUAUUUUUAAAAUUGAUGAAAUAUGGAGGUUUUUUUAAAUUAUAUAUACCUACUUACAUUCAUUCAGGAAUAUAAUACUAAUCUCUACUAACUAUAUGAUACAUGCAUGCAUACAUGCAUAUCUAUUUACCUUGUAUAUAUGAAGAAUUGGGGUUUAGUGUUUUGCCUUCUUUUCGCCACGUGGCUUUCUAUUGAUACAACAAGUGGUAUAUCUCUAUAUUCAAAACAACUAUAUCCUUCAUUGCUUUUGUUGGUCUUUGUUAAUGGGCCUGAUGAACUCAAAAGAUUUUAGACUAAUGAAUAAAUUUUAUUCUCCAUAUUAUAACUGUUUGGCCCUUAAAAAGGGUGGCCUUUACCGGAAAAAAAAAAAGAAAAAAGAGCGUGACCUUUAUUUAGUUCUUUAAGGCCUAAAUGGGUUAAUCUUAGCUUAAUUAACUUAUUAUCUGGUUGGGUGGAUGUGCUGUCUAUACCAUGACUCUUGGAUUAGGCUUAAUGGACUAAUAAUAGAUUUCAACCCUGAGACAAAUUUCAAUUAAACUCUAAUUAUAGUUUCUCUAUUGUUACCUACAAUAACAUUUCUUGCACAUUGCUAUUCUUUCCAUUGCACAUCAUUUUUUUUCUUUUUGCCUUUUACUCGUGUCAAAUCAAAUAAGUCAGGCCCUUAUAUUUAUGGGUGUUCAUUGGUCAAUAAUCGGGAAUUUGGUAAAAAAAAAUUGGUAAUUCAGAAAUUGAUUUUUAAAACCAAUAUCUUAUCACCGUCCAAACCUUAGUUUGAUAAAUUGGAUCAAAGAACUAAUAAUUUAGUAAUAUCCAAAAUAUCAAUAAUGAGUUAAAAUAUUUUAAUUUUCUCUGAAACAUUGUUGUCACAAAAUAAUAUCUUAUAUGUUUUUCCAAGAAAAAUUCAAUCAACUCAAACAAACAUGAUAUGCAAAAAAAAGAAGGUUCAUAAUUCUAAGUCCUAACUCAUAAUCUCAAUUCUUAAACAACAUUGAAAUAUAUAUAUAUAUAUACUAGGAUUGCUUCCCACGCAAGCGUGAGAACUUUAGACCUAUUAGUAAGAGCAAAAGUAAUAUAUGUGCUGAUACAAAAGAAAAGCAGCUAUGUACUGAUACAAAAGAUAAGAGGUACUGUAGUACUGGUGGUUCAAAAGAAAGAGAAAAGCAGUAUGGUACAACAGUAUAGCUUAUUCAAAAGAUGCAUCACAAGGUAUUGAAGCGUUGCGCUAGAGUUGUGUGCCUAUGAUUCAAAAGGAAGAGCAGAGUACUCUACUUAAUGUACAGCAGUUUUAGUCUUGCUUCUUGGAUGAUGUGACAUGUUGUUUCUUCGUCAGGUUUUCUGCAAUUUUGAGUGAAUCAAGGAGGUUGGUGUCAACUACAUCUGAUUUGGCUUUCAGUGGAACUUCAAUAGAAGCUUAAGCAGUUGCAAGUGAAAGGUCAACUAUUAGCAAUUGAGUAGAAGCUUGAACAAUUUCUUCAUGUGCCUUUGUGGUUUCAUGUGCAGGCAUUGGUUGGUUUUCAUUGAUUGGUAGCACUGUGAUGCGUUUUGGGCCAACCUUGUGGGCUAUGAUAGUAGUGCAUCUAUCAUUGUUGAACGUGGUGUAGUUUGUUGUUGCUUUCUUCAGGAAACAAGCAAUAGUAGUCUUGUUCAUUGAUUCUUUGAUAAGGUCGUAGAGCAUGGUAUUCUGUUUAAUUGAGUACACAUUGAAAAUAGAUGUUGUUUUAGUGGUUGUAGAGGAAGGAUUGUAUUGUAUAUAACUGAUUGUGUUCUUUUUGAAGUUUUGUUAUGCUGAAGGGGAGCAGCUGUUCAGCAUCUUGUCCAUAAAGGUCUAGCGUGAGAGUUCCUGAGUUGUCUACAAGCUGUAUUGUUAGCUUGCAUCUGUUAUUGAGUAAUUUGUGAGUAAUUAGUGUCUGUAGCAUUGAGCAAGUAGUGUUGGAAUUGGAGAUAUCAAACCUUGUGACAACAUUGAUGUGCUUUUGGCAAGAGGUACAGAUUAUCGGCCAAUUGGGUUGUGAUCUGAGUGAUUUGUGACAUUGGGGACAAGUAUAAUACCAGAGCUUUUGGCUUUUGUCUAAGAGUGUGGUUGUUCCUUGUACCCAGUAUGCUUUUUGUUGCAGGAAGCUCAGGAAGUCUUUGAUUGUAGUUAAAUCUUCAGCAUCAGGAAUUGGAAGUAGCUUAUCUCUAUUGAGAAACGCUAUUUGUGCUUUGAGAUUUGCGAUGAUAGCUUGGUUCUUUGCUGCCCUGUUGAUAGUGUAUGUGUGUAAUGGAUGAGAAAAGAUAAUAAUCAUGAUAAUCUAAUUAGUUACCAUUUGUUUAGCGACACAAAUUCUUCGAGGGGUGGAUUGAUGAGAAGCGUCGUCGCAAACUUGGUGGACAUGUUCAUUGCUGUUAAUUUGAUUUGUUAGCAUCACUAUUGUAAUUGUAACUAUAAUAAUUAGUUAUAUAGUGAGCAGAGCAUGAAAAGGAUUGAGAGUAAUACUGUGCUAAAAAGUGACUUUUAUUUUGAUGGCUACAAGUAUUGGCUGAGUGUGGAUUUUGUUAGCCAAUAUUUGUCCUUUCUCUGCUUCACAUAGAGUCAGCGCUACAGGCAUAGAGCUGUAUAUAGCUUGUUAGGUAAUAUAUGCAUAAUGGCACCAUUGUUAUUAUUUGUAUAGAAUGCGUAUAUAGUUAAAUCUUACUUGUGAUCAAUAAGCACAAUUUCUCUAGUUGGAACUGGAGCUUUAUUGCUUCUUGGUUCAACAUGGAUGACGAUGCCUAUCACAUCUUUUUUGAGAAUACGUGUGUAAGCAUACGUAUUAAGAAUAGUGAUUGAGCAAAAAAUGGUUGUAAUAUUUAGAAGCUUACUUAUCUCAGUGUUGUCAUCUAUAUGGCGGUGGAGCUUGUUGAAAACUGGUAAAUGCAAAGAUAGGCGGCAACGCUGGUGGCUCUGGUUCAUCUACUGCCCGGACAAUUGAUGAAUUCUCUAUUAUCCAUUUUACAUUCGUUUUCCUUGAUGUAGUAGCGUUCAUCAGUAUAUUGAAUUCUAACAUUUGAGAUGAUGUAUCUUUUUCCUGGGAUGAAUAAUCUUUUGAAAAAGUUGAUGUCCGAGCCAUAGAUCAGAGCAUUUAAGCUAUUUCCCUAUUCAUAUCAGAAGUUGAUAUCAGAAGUGGAUGUUAGUAUUUAUGUAUAAUUACUAAAAUAGUAUGUGAAUGAAUUUUUAUACCUUAAUAUCAACCAGUAUUAUCUUCUGACAUGGAUUUCUAGCUUUUGAAGUUUGUCGCUUCAGUUUUUCAGCCACUUGUAUUAUUGCAGUCCAAUUUUUUGUUUCUAGCUUAAGAUCAGUGAAAGUUAAGAAGUUGCGGUCCGUCAUUUUCCUGUAUUAUUUCGAAAGUUAUGAGCACAAAUUAUAGUAAAGAUACAAUGAGAUAUAGUAAGAAGGCAUAUCAAGAGAUGUAAUAGUCAAAUAGUUUGGUAAUCUAAGAUUAAGCAGUGGUUAUAAUAGUCAAGAGAUAUAAUAGUCAGUUGAAGUUUACAUACCUGAUUGUAACAUGGAGUGUUGCAUGCGAUGACGGAAAAGGAGAGGACAGAAGUGUGUUUUUGGAAAAAGAAGUUAAAAGUGGUAGAGUACAAUUGAAAUGACGUACUCGAGGUAAUUGAGUUGUAGUGGCAGAUAUAAAAUUGAAGUUUAGUUAAGUGAUAUUAUUUAGUUGCUGAUAUCGUUUAGUUUGUAUUGGGUGAGAAUUUAGUUGUAGUCUAAAGAGUUUAUCUGGCUGUUUAAGGAGUUUAGUUGUGUUUGAAGUGUUUUUUGUGGAUAUCUUGAAUCUGUAGUUUGUACUUUAGUGCUUAUCAACUUUCACAUAUUCCUAGAAGUUUCACAUUUUGAUUGUAUUUUCUCUUCUUUUCAUGUGGAUCAGAGAGUUAGCUUAUAUUUUUUAUAUAUUUUAUUUAUUGUGUGUGAGAGUAGUCUAGAAUGUCGUUAUAUGAUACGUGUAAGUAUUAGUAUUAUGAGGAUAAGAAUAAGGAGCUAUAGGGAGUGAAAGACAGAGUUUUAUGUGCAAUUCGUUCUAGUUUUCUGCAAAGCUUUUGUAAAUGGCACGUGCAAAUUCUAGAUUUCCAACUGUUCAGCUAUACUAUCCAGAAAUAGAGGAGGAGAUAAAUGAGUUAGCAGUUGUACGUGGGGUAGCUUAUCCUAUGGAUCAUGGAUGUCGCAAUUGACCGGCUGAACUUGUUGCAAGACAUCAAAUUGCAAAUAUUUUGCUUAAAAAUGAGCUAUGUGACUUGUUCAAAGAGUUUUAUAGGCAUAAUGACUGGAGCUUAGUUCUGGAGGCUGUUUUCAGAAGUGGAAGAAAUUAUCCAAUUCUAGAGUUGAUCGCUAGAAAAAUAAGGGUUGAGGUAUUGGAAGAGAAGUAUUACUUUCCUAGUCUGCCAUCUUCUGAUAGUUUUGGUGAUUAAAGUGAUUGAAAGGUAUUGUGUAUUUUCGAGAAGACAUUAAAAUAUAUUGGUUAUUUCUAAAUUUAUUUUGUUGAUUGUAAUUACUUAUAGUUAAAAAUUUUAAUUGGUUAGGUUGUGCUGGUCAGUUUGAGAGGAAACAAUAAUAGGAGUUAUUCAAGCCUUUUUGAGAUGCUAUUUGCUAAAUCUUUCGCACAAAAGAAAAGCGGGAGCUAUUUAAGCUGUUUUGAGAUAAAUCAGACUUAUGAGUAGCUUAUUUAGUUGGCAGUAGUGUAGCUUUCAGUUGUAUAGGUAUUGUAUUGUGAAUGGUGGAUAUCUUUGUAGUGUUUUUGUGAAUGUUCAAAUGAAUGUGUGUUGCCAUAAGAGUUAUAUGUGAGAAUGAGAUUUAUAAUCAUUGUAGUUGUAACAGAAACAGACUGAACCAGCGUAAAAUUGCCUUGGUGAAGCGGAAAAAAAUUACAUAGCGAUGGUAAAAUAAGUUAGAUAAAGAUGGAAAUUAUGAAAACAGCAAAUAUAAAAGAGGUGGAGUAUUUUAGGUAGAUAAGAAAAGGCUGAAGCAACAGCUUGACCCCUUGCUUGUCAAAACUGCUAGCAUUGAGCACUUGCUUGUUGAAGUUGGUUCUGAACAUUUUCCUUAGCUUGCUCUACAAGUUCCUGGAGUGCUUGUAAUGGUUGAUGUGUUUGUAAAAUAGUUUCAAAUGUUGAUAUCCAUGCUGGUGUGGUGUAAAAUGCUGUGAAGAAAGUUAGGAUUUCAUUUUUCAAGUGGAAAAGUUCAAGUGUUUGUAUAUUUUGUUUAGAAAUAAGAUGGUUGACAAAUUCAAGGACACUUGGAUUUGUUUGGAUGUUACUGAGCUUUGUAUUUGUUAGUAGUUGGUGGGAGAUUGUAUUGUUUGGGCUAGAGGUUGAAUGAUGAGGGUUUGUGUUGUUCAUGGUUUGGUACAAGAGAGUGUUUAUGGAGGAGCAGUUGUUGUUGCUUUAUGUUGUUUGUUAUGCGGGGAGUAAUGUUAUGUAUGUAUUUAUAGAUAGAAAUUUGAAUGUAAAAAUUAAUCAGAUAUGAUUCACGUGUGCAUAGUAUUCAUUUGUUUUUUGUGUGUUUUUUAGUUCAAAAGGUGGGGUUGAGAUGUGCAGAAGCAUUAGAUGGGAGUGUACUACAGUCUACUGUAAAAGCAUUAGAUAGAGUUGGAUAUUUUUUGAAAUGCUUUCUGCUGUCAACUCUUUGAAGAAAAUGAUGUAUAAGGCUUUUAAAGGUUAGAGGUCCAGUAGACAGCAACUACCUUCAAAUGAUUGUAGAAGUUACCUGUAAUCAAUCAUGCCUGUGCAUAUUUUGUUUAGUAAUAGCAGAUUCAAACUGAAUGCACAUGUGUGUGUUCAUGUGUAUCUAUUUAUUACAAAAUUUUUUUGUCAAUUUAGAGAUAAAGAGGUUUAAUCAACCACUAAGCUAGUUAAAUUGAAUUAGAUACCGUUAGUUUUUUGUUGGUUCAUAGAAGAUAUGGAUGUAGCAGCUUUCCUUCCUUUCCUUUCUUGAUAAGCUUUCCUCGGCUUAGUUCAACGAGCUUCUUUUUCUUUCACUGAUAAGAAAUCAUAUUUUUCUCUUAAUCUCUUUGAUUGUGAACAAUCCUCUUAUCCAUUGAAUAUGCAAGCGCAUAAGUUGAAACCAUUACACAGCGAAUAUGCAAAGCUAACACCAAGCAUAACAGUAAUAGUAAAUAUGGUUUACAGUUUGUAGCAAGAGUAAACGUAGAAAAUAAAGAUUUAGCAUAAAGGAACCAGAACCUAGAUACAAAGUUUUGCAAAGCAAUUACAAAGGCAGCAGGAUAGAGUGAAGAGUUGUGGAUAGUUUAUGCAGCAAAAAAAAUAAUCAAUUGGUGACUCUAUUAGUUCAUGCAGAAAAGAAGGCUAGAUUUUCUAAUUUCUGAUAGCAAAAGUAGAAAGCUAUUGUGAAAUGACUCUAUUGUAUAUGAGUGCAAAUGAGCUAGCUGAUAGAGAUGAGCAUCAAAUCUCAUUGAUGCUGCAGAAGAAUGAAAUAAACUCUUACGUUUUCAAAUGAGCAUGCUUUAUCCAUGGACGAAUUCAUCUGCAUCACUAACCUGCAUGGUACUGAAUAAGGUUAUAGUUCAUAGCCCCAAGAUAGAUUUCCUACUUAGUAUAUUAUGCAUUAUACAUUCUGCUGUUUUCAAUGAAUUUGCACAUGUAUCGCAAUAUAAAGAAAAUUUAUCAACUGAGGCAUGUGAUACUUAUUAAAACAUAAAUUUAAAUGUGCAACAUUAGCUAACCAAUUUAGUUGAAUAUUUCAGUUACACAUUUGAUAUAACAUUUGAUCAUAUCCUGGUAUAUAAUCAUAUGAGGUAACUCCUCCCAAAAGAAAGAAAUUAAACUGAAGAAUUUAUUUUAUCUAAACUUAAUUAUCAUUUUACUGAGUAAUGAUAAAAACCUGCAUGGGAGCAAUUUAACCAACAGAAAGAGGUUGUGGUUGAUACGUCUGCAAGUUCAUUUAGUCUUGCCACUGCCUCCUUCAUCAAAAUUUCUGGAAACAAAUCGUAGUCUCUACCUUUGUGCUCUUCAAAAGCUAAAGAAAUAAAAUUGCGCUCUCAGUAGGUGAUUCAGUUAAGUGCAUAAGGAGGCGUGUAAUUCAAGGGUAAGGGUAGAAUUCUGCAUAGUGCUUGUAUAAUAAGGGCCACUGAAAAGUUUGAGAAGUCAUUACCUGUGAUAUAGAAGUAUGAAGCAGGCGUAAUGACAUAAGAAAUGCCAUGACAGAUUCUUUACAUUGUGGUUGGCAGAGUUGACCAUUUAAUAGUGACAAAAGAAGAAUUUUCAUAAAGAACAGAAUGUGUAUGCUUCAUAUGCUCUGCAUACGCCUUUGGCAGAUAAAAUGUUUGAUAGGAUGAAAAUGUUUGACUAUAAGAUGGUAUAAGCUGCUGUAAACCAAUGUAUUGAGUACAAGUUCUCUGGUUUCUUUAGUGGAGCCAGGAGUUUUGAAAGUUGGUUUUUUAAUUCCCAAACUGGAUGAUGUUUUUGAUGAUUAUAGUUUUUAGAGUUGGUUUUUCUCCAUCCUUAUUAUCAAAUUUAGCCUUCGCACAAGUUUGAUUUGUAGAUGCUAAUUCUGCUUUGUCUCUUUGUUACUUGCCGUGCUUUUUGCUUUCGUAGGUGUGGAUAAAAAUGCCUGUAGGAAGCUCGACAACUGGUGGGAAAAUGGAAGGUAGUGAAGUGUAUGAGUGGAUUCCAGUAUCAAGAUUGGUUAUAACAAGUAAGAUCAGGUGCAAUUACUCAUAGCGUGUUGUUCAUUAGCAAGUACCUGAAUACACUAAUAUGGGAAUCACAGGUUAUUUAGUAAAUAUUUGCAUAUUUUCUUAUAACUUGAUAAGUAACUUAUUGGUGAAAUAUUUGAUGCUGCAUUAACUUGGUUGCUUAAUAAAGUAACUUUACAAAAAAAUCUCUCAUAAAGAAGCAAAAGAAAAAAGGGAAAGAAAUAAAAGUUGAAGUUAGGAGAGAGUUGAAACUGCAACAAAUCACAACAAAUUGGAAUCUGGAAUAUUUGGAGGCUAUGAAUCAUAUCAAAAGCAACUAGUAUAAGAUUACAUGCAACAGCAUGGUUCCAAAAUAUUUAGAGUUAAUUAAUAAGAAGCUUCAAGGUAGACUUACAUGUAUUGUGUCAGAAACAUCAGUAUCAUUAGUCAUCAUUUAAGCGAGUUUGAGUACUAUACUCUUCAAAUAAUUGUGUGGCACUUCUGUCAGAAGCAAACAACACAGAUUAGCUUGCAUUGCAGAGCGAAACACUAUGAAGAAAAUUUGUGUUUGCAUAGCAUGUAAAGAUGCAUUAGAAGAGCUAAUUAGAAGUGCAAAUAUAUAGCACCUAAUAGAGGCAAUGUCAGGGUCAUACACAGAAGGACCUAAUGCAGAUAAAAUAAGGAAGCUGUAAUACUGCUUUCGGUGAAAAGUUGUAGUGCUUGUAGGAUAUGUUGCAUUAUGAGUUGCAUAAAAGUCAUCCAUGUAGGCAAAAGAAAGCCUAUACUUCUCACAGACUAUGUUUGGUUUCCCAUGGAAUUGGGGUUUAGAAUUGGAACUGGAGCCUCAAUUCCAAUUUAGUUAUUUGGAUUUUGUUCCAUUUAAAGAAUUAGAAUUGAAUCUGAAUUCUAUGGGGGUCCAAUUCCAUGAAUUGAAUUCUUUACUGGACCAAAAGAAUUCUUCCUAGGUUGCCAAGAUUUGGAACUUGGAUACCACACAAAGUGCUCAGGGAACACUUUGUAGGAACAUUUGAGGCUUUUUGCUAAAUCAUCUGUAGCAUCCAUUCGAAAAAAUUGGGUCAGCAUAGUUCUUUAUGCAAAAUUGUUACUUAAUACAUUGUCAAGACUAUCAUUUGGUCGAAAGAAUAUAGAUUGAAAGUUUUCUAGGUAGAGUUGAAGCUCUAUUACAGCAAGCUGUAUUUCAUAAAGGUGGAAUCUAUAUAUCUUCCACAUCGCUUCAAUUGCACAUACCCACCGUGCUGACUGAUAUUCCUUAAUUUCAUCAAUAGUAUUUGCUCCAUCAUCAGAAUUCACUUGAAAAUGGAUCUUUCCAUGACCUUUGUAUAUAUACUUUACAGCCUUAAUUGUGGAGCAAAUUUCUACAUUUAUAUGGCAGUUGAAUUUAGCUAAUAGAUAGGCAUUGUAUGGCAUUACCCAUCUGUUGUCUAAGUAGUGCCCUCGGACCAAAAUUUUUUUUUCCAUCAUUUCUUCUUCUGUACGUUGGAUACGAGUUUUGAGAGUGUAUAGUUUUUUCUACUCAUGCCUUUGGAUAAUUAUUCUUGUAAGACUUUUUUGAUGCACCCUGCAUACAUACGUUAUCAGAUUUUUUCUUACCACACGGCCCGUGCAUCAUAUGCUUCUUAACCAUUCUAAAUAGAUGCUCAUUUUGUGCUUGAUCAGGUAUUUCUGCAGAAACUAUACGAUCAUAAUCUUCCGUUGUAUAGAGUUUGAAAGCAGACUUGAGGAUAAUUAGAAAGUGAGCAUGAGGCAAACCAUAUUUUUGAAAUUCUAUAACAUUAGUAUAUGCCGCUACUUCUCCAAAUAUAUGUUUCUUGAAUAACUCUUCUUUCAUAAUUUCUAACUUUGCAUGGAACACACGAGCAAUAAGAUCAGGCCUAUUCUGAGUUUCAUCCGAUUGUAGCAUAUUUUCUUUAAUCUCAAGCCAUGAUUGGUUACAGGUCAUGGUUAUAAAAAGAUCUGGCUUCCCAAAUUUCUGAACCAAAGCCAUAGAAUCAAGAUACCAUUUUUUUCAUAUUUCUAGGACCUCCAAUGAAUGAUGCAGGCAAUAUUAGUCAUUAUCCAAUUUGAAAUCCAUUUUUUUGUCCCAGUACUACACCGUCCAUAAUUUCUUGUAGCUGCUCCCGACGUAUUUGCUACUAUCUACUUCUAUAAAAAUCUAGUCUUUGUAUCUCUAUUUUAACGUACAUGUCAACUGAGUACUGUUGCAAAGCUCUUCCAACAUUUAAAAUAUUUGGCCCAAUCUUUUUUCUCAUCUGGAAUUUAUAUGCAUAAUACUCUCUCAUGGAUAUAUACUCCUUGGAGUUUUCAUAUGCCUUGUAAACUGUAAGAUUUAGAAUAUUUGUCAAAGAAGAGAUGAGUAGAAUUCAAUACAGUUAUAUAUAAUCAAUAGCAUAUGUGUGUUACCUUCUUCUUCAAGAUCAAUCAUUCCUUCUGCCGACUUAAAGCUAGACAAUAUAGUUGUACAUGAGUGUUUCAUAGUCUUUCUUUUGCACAUUUUUGGAUUGCCUCUCCCUGAUCAUUGUAUACUUGGAUGCCAUCCAGUUUCUUUGAAUCGAAAAAGCAACGGAUACUGAAGAAGGUCAUAGCAGUCGUAGUAAUAUUGUACUCGGUGGUUGUGUCCUUCUUUAGUAUAUAUCUGUAUGUGUCUAGAAUAGGCUUGAUAAACAUUUUCUCCGUCAACCCAUAAAGGUGCAACUUGAGACACAAGUGGUUUAUUAAACACUCGCUGGUCACUGUCGCUAUGAGAUUUUAAUACAAUCUGAUAUGAGUCCAAGUUUAGGAGAUUUCUCAAACUCCUGAAGAAGCAAGCAUAUGGAUUUUCUUUCAUUACUUCUAUUAGCUUCACUAUAAUACUUUCGGGCACUUUUUGUGAUGUUGCUAAUCGAUUCUGAAUCUCAUGUUCUGUGUCAUGGAAAUAAAGCUGAAGAUACAUUCCUGAUCCUCUAUGCAGUAUUAGUUCAUUGAUGCAAUGGUAGGUUUGACCUUGCAUCUUGAAUGUAUAGAUUCCGUUUGUUCUCUUGCAGAGGAAUUUGUCAUAGUGAAUGCCAAAGGAAGUAAAUGCAAACAUGCUAUUAUAGGUUCUGACAUAGGUUCGAAAAUGUAUAGCUUCUUCACUUUGACCAGUAAAAAGUUCAAUUAGGAUAUCAGGUAGCUUAUUUUCAUGGAGCAGAACUUCGCCAUCAGAACAACAAAAGUUUGCUGUCUCCGAGUAGAAUUUUUUUGCUCCACAAUAUUUACAAUCUAAUGCAUCAGAAAGCUGGUCUGCAUUAUGCCUAAUGAAAUUCAGAGCAUCUACACUAGCUGUAUUUUUAGAUGCUGUAGAAUAAUAGAAAUACAAAGUAUUUUUAUCACUAUCUUAUGUGCAUAUGAAACAACUAUAAAUAUUUGAAUAUGAAUAGAUAUAAGAUAAAGAAACAGCAAUGACACCUUUGUUUUGCAUGCAAGCUUUUUUUGCUCGGAUAUCUGAUCUCCUUUGGCUUGAGUUUUUGCCUAUGAAGCAAUCGUAUGGCCAGUUAGGAAGUUAAAAGAAUUAUAAUGCUAAUAAAGAGUAUAUAGAUUCUGCAACAUUUCUAGAUAUAUUUUAGAUAUACAUACCUUUUCAACGAUUUUUCAUGAUAUGAGAAGCAUUGUCUUCCACUGGCUGAGGAUGUACUGUCAUAGAUAUGUCUGAUCAGGCAAAUAAGAGAAUGUAAAAACAUAAAUCAAGUUCAGUAACUGAACGACAUAAAGCAAAUAUUUGUGAAAAUAGGAUUAAGGACCUUAACCUGCAAGAUCAUCAACUGUUUCAUGCAAGAAUUUAUAGCAGUUGUCACACAUAGAAGGAUCAUCUGCCAAAUCAAAAGAUAGAAAUUGUUAUAUGAAACAUGGACUGAUAAGUAGGAUUAUAACAAGACAUACCUGCAAUGUUUAGUCUGCUGGUUCUUCUGCAUUUAUAGACUGGUGUCUGUGUUGAGGAAGAACCUAUAUAAAUAUAAGAUGGAAAAAUGCAUUCAUAAAUAUAGAAGAGCAAAAAAAAAAGGAACAACUUGAUCCAGGCAUACCACGUUCAAAUGUGGAAAAUAUAGAAACAUGCUUCUUCAGCUUGGCUUUUGAUUCAGCAUUGCUUUUACACAGAGAAUUACUUUUGUUAUGUUGUUGCACAACUGAUUUGAUAGUAAUAGAUUGUUGCACAUUAGCCUCUUUGUCUCUGCUCUAUUGUCGAAAUGGUUUAAUAGUAAUGCCUUGUUGGUUGUUGUGUUCAUUGUUUUGCUGUAAAUCACAACAAACUGGAUGUCGUGCACCUGAAUUAGAAGGUUUCGAUAAUUUACAUUCCAUAGUAACUGGAAACUGUUCUCCAUUGAUAUGCAUUUCUUAUAGAUUUUGUUUUGAAUUUAGACAUAAAGAUUUCUUUUAAUCCAGUGUUAAGGUAUCAAAGAAAAACACUCAAAAACUUCAGAUAAAGGCGAACUCAAAUGUUGUUCUUCAUGUCUAUAUAUUUAUUACAAAAGUUUGCUAUCAAUUUAGAGAUAAAGAGGUUUAAUCAACCAUUAAGCUAGUUAAACUGAAUCAGAUACCAUUAGUUUGCUAUUGGUUCAUAGAAGACGUGGAUGCAACAGCUUUCCUUGCUUUUCUCUCUUGAUAAGUGUUGGCCUAAUCAGCAACAUCCCUCAGAUCCCGACUCGAAGGGACUAACCGCCCAGCCCGUGGCACCUAGGGGUGCAGCCCCUCAUGCUGGCCGAGCGUGGUACGGUGCUUUGCGCUGCCAUUGUGGUUAAGGAAAUAAAGUUGCGCCUUCGCUAAAAGCUAUAGCUUUUGGUGCAAUGGUAAGCGCUUGAUCCUGACAAGUGGUAUCAGAGCGAGGUCGCGGGUUCGAGUCUCCCUAGCUGUUGCUGGGGGAGGGAUUGUUGGCCUAAUCAGCAACAUCCCUCAGAUCCCGACUCGAAGGGACUAACCGCCCAGCCCGUGGCACCUAGGGGUGCAGCCCCUCAUGCUGGCCGAGCGUGGUACGGUGCUUUGCGCUGCCAUUGUGGUUAAGGAAAUAAAGUUGCGCCUUCGCUAAAAGCUAUAGCUUUUGGUGCAAUGGUAAGCGCUUGAUCCUGACAAUAAGCUUUCCUCUGCUUAGCUCGACGAGCUUCUUUUUCUUCCACUGAUAAGGAAGUAUAUUUUUCUCUUAAUCUUCGAUUGCGAACAGUACUCUUAUCCAUUGAAUAUGCAAGCGCGUCCGUCGAAACCAUUGUACAGCGAAUAUGCAAAGCUAACACCAAGCAUAAGAGUAAUAGUAAAUAUGGUUUACAAUUUGUAGCAUGAGUAAAUAUAGAAAAUAAAGAUUUAGCAUAAACGAACCGGAACCUAGAUAUGGAGUUUUGCAAAGCAAUUACAAAGGUAGCAGGAUAGAGCGAAGAGUUGUGGAUAGUUCAUGCAGCAAAAAAAGCAACCAAUUGAUGACUCUGGUAGUUCACGCAGAAGAGAACACUGAAUUUUCUAAUUUCCGAUAGCAAAAAUAGAAAGCUAUAUGAGUGCAAAUGAGCUGGCUGAUAGAAAUGAGCAUCAAAUCUCAUUAAUGCUGCAGAACAACCAAUUUCCACUAACAUCUGGCUAAGGCUUGAAAUAAGGAUAGGAAAGACAUAUUAUCCAAACAAAAGCAGCAAUCAGUUGUACCAACUCCAAGAAAGAGAACAACCAAAAGGCUGGAACCACAAAAAUGCCCUCAAGAAAGCAGAUGAAAAGCAAUGAACAGUAACCCACAAAACAUCUUCUUAUAUGUUAUAAGGAUAUAAGAACUUCAAAUUUAAUUGGUAAGCUAAACUCUAACAUAUCAACUUCCACUAAAAUUUUACGUCCAAGUAUAGUUAUAGUUAAGUUAACUAAUUAGUAUUUAGUCAUAUGAUUAAGAUUUACUCUUAUAUUUAGUAAUAUACAUAAGUGGACAUAUAUUCUACUUUGACUCCUCCUAUUGAUUUUAAGGGAAAGAAUGAUUUCACUUAAUUGUUCUUGAAAUUUUAAAUGGGCAUGGGCUAUGCUGGGCACAACUUGAAUUCUGCUAGUCUUAUCUUAUAUCUUAUAUGUGAGAAGAAAGGAUAGUUUAGUUCUUUGCCCCCUUCCUUGUUACUUGGUUUCCUAAUAACUUGACAAGUGGCAUGACUCUAAUAUUUCUUACCCCUUGCAUAUCUUUUUUUUGUUCCUUUGUUCAUGCCAAACCAAAUAAGUCUCGCCCUUGUCUUUUUUGAACCCAAUGGAUUUUCUACCUAUUAUAUAAGAAAACAUGGGAGUUUGCUAUAAUACCCCAAUUUUUUAACACUCGGCAUACCUCUCCUUUGACGAAGUUGUGAUUUUUUUCCCAUUUUUUUAUUUUCCCACUUGUCCCUUGAUGGGCCAAGAUAGAGGAACUACUAUGUGGGAUAAAAUAGAAGAUUUUCAUUCAUUUUGCUUAAUCAUAUGGACUUCUACUACUUUUAUGUGUUGUCUAAUUUAUGACUAUAGGAUCCAGUUUUACAAAUUAAUGAAAAACUUUUAGUUCUUGGAUAUUGAUUAAUUUUGUUUAAUUAGUGGCUUACCCAACUCUUAUAUUUAAACAACUCCUUUUUAUGAACAAUUAAAGUCUCUUUCUGUUGUACUAUAAAUCAUUUCUCAAAGUUGCAUAGAAAAUUAGAUUUCUUUCUUCCCAAUUGUACUUAACCAUGCACUUUCUUUAUUGACUGUCUUCAUUAACCUCAAGGUUGAUAGAUCCUUUUUUACCUAUUUCCCAUAAUCAUAAUAUGGUUUUUCAAUUUCGCUUAAGAGAAAUUACAGACUUAAUAUAUAGUAACAUAUCUCUUGUAUUUCUAUUUAUUGUAUACAAAAAAGAUAUGUUACCAUAUGUUCAAUUAAAAUGCUAGGGGGCUUAGGCUAUGCAAGGCACAACCAAGAUACAUCUAGUAUAUACAUACAUACACAUAUAUACAAGUGUAAUAAAUGUAUACAUAUUACAUUUAACCAACAAGUGUUAGACUAGUACAUUUUAUCACAAUUUUUCUAGAAUUGUGUACCAAAUUCAAUCCCAAACAAUUAAAAAAAAAACCUCAAUCCACAUUUACAAGCUAAGAAUCUUAAUGGAGUCGGGCUAGCCUGAAUUCGACCCAAACAAUAGAGCUAAGCCUUAUAUAUAACUGAGUCGGGUAGAGAUUGGGCCUAAAUUUUAGGCCCAAAUUAAAUAUGAAUCGAGUGUAAACUUUAAUUAAGUUCAAAUCGAUUAAAGCCUAGUCUAAAUAAUUAUAUAUUUAAGUAUAAUAUAUAUAAUAAUAUAUGUAAUAUAUUAUGCACAUUAUAACUUAAAAAAUAAUAAUUUAUAGAUAAUUAUAUAAUAAUACACAAAUAUUAAAUAUAUAUUAUAAAUAAAUAUGUAUCAAAUUGUGAGCUUAGACCAAGUCCGAUUUAAGCAUGAAGUUCUAUAAUUUUGUGGGUUAAGUAUGAGCCUGAGUCAACUUGAAAUCUAAAAGCUCAAAAAUCCUAUCUUAUUUAUGAGCCGAGUUUGAACUUGAUAAAAUCCAACUCAUUAAACCCAAUGAACAACAUUAAUGUGAAAUGUACUCUUCAAGUAUACAGCCCCCUUAUUCCAAAAUUCCCUACUCCAUGCUAUGUUGAAUGUAACUCAAAAUCUAUCACCAUUCAUCUUCUUCUUUUUUUUUAAAAUUUUUUUUAGUAUAAGUGAGAGGUCUCGAAUAUGAGACUUCUCACUUACGCUCCCUUUCUCCCACUCAUUCUCUCUCCUUUUCACCUACUACUAUUAAUUUCUUUACCAUUCCCUUCUAUAAAACUUUGGAUACGUACUUCCGUUCACUAGAACAUUUCAUGUGGAAUUUUAUAUAAUUAAUGCUUAUCAAAGUAAUGAAAAUAUUUCUAAUGAAAAGGAUUGAAAUGAGAAACUUAUAGUUCUUCCAAUUCCCAUUGACAUUUUAGGAGAACAAAAAUUGCCUUACCUUGGAUCAACUUCUUUUUGCAUAUGCUUAUCCCUCCUGAUUCUAAGAGUCAGGGAUUAGACUCUCUACUAUUACCAAACUAGUUGCUAGUUGCUAGUUGCAAGAUACAAUUAAUGGUUUAUACGCAUUUGGUUUGAAGCUAGAUGGAUGAGAUUGAUGGUACAACACAAAGUUUUAGUGUCAAAUUUUUGUUGUUUUAUCCGUAUGCUCAUUUGUUCUGUUAUACUACAUCACAAUAAAAAUUGUUUGGUGCAAUUGACAUGGAUAAUUGGAGAACCAUGGUGUGGCAAUGCAUGUUGUGGCCAUUAUGCAUUGCAAUGUAUGUACUCAAACUACAAAUACAAAUUUUUUUAGUAAAAUAUAGACAAAAUGGGUACAAUAUGGAAAAUUAUAUGUAAAUCUUUAUUUAAAAGUACGAUUAAAAAUUCAAUGGAGAGAUACGAGUUCUUGAAGAUUAUGUAUAUAAAUUCAUAUGUGAAUAGUGUGAAUGUGUUUAAAUCAAAAAAUUCAAUUAAAUUUUUAGUGAUUUUCAAAGAUUACACCAUAUUAAUACCAACUUUAACUCUUUAUGCGUAUAUGAGACAUUAAUCAAUUAAAUUUUUAUAAUAUUAUUUAAUUUAUGUAAAUAUAUCAAAUGACAGACAUCAUUUUUUAUUUUGUAUAAAACUUGAAGGAUAUGCCAUUAUUCUUACACAAAUUUUAUAAACCUUUUUUUUAAGAUUGAAGUGUUAUUCAUGAUCUAUGAUACACUGAAAUGUAUUAAAUAUUUUAUAGGAUAGCUAAAAAGUAUUAUUGUUUUUAAAAUUCAUGAAAUAUGAAUGUUUUUUUAAAUUAUACAUACCUACUUACAUGCAAGAAUAAGAUACUAAUUUUUAGUAACCAUAUGAUACGCAAAUACAUACAUGCAUAUAUACAUACAUAUAUACACACACAUUCAAGUGUAAUAAAUGCAUACAUAUUACAUUUAACCAACAAGUGUAAGACUAAUUUAUUUUAUCACAAUUUUUUUCUAAAAUUGUGUACCAAAUUCAAUCCCAGACAUUAAAUUAAAAAAAAAACUCAAUCCACAUUUAUAAACUAAAAAUGUUAAUGGAUUCGGGCUAGACUGAAUUCAACCCAAAGACUAGGACUAAGCCUAUAUUAAACUGAGUCAAGCAAAGAUUGGGCCUAAGUAUUAGGACCAAAUUAAAUAUGAGUUGAGUUUAAACUUUAUUAAGUUUAGAUUGAUUAAAUCCCAGUCCAAAUAAUUAUAUAUUUACGUAUAAUAUUAUAGUAUAUAAUUAUGCACAUUAUAACUUAAAAAUUAACAAUUUAGAGAUAAUCAUAUAAUAAUAAACAAAUAUCAAAUAUUUAUUAUAAAUAAAUAUGUAUUAAAUUGUGAAUUUUGACCAAGUCCGAUUUAAGCACGAAAUCCUAUAAUCAAGUCCGAUUUAAGCACAAAUCCUAUAAUUUUGUGGGUUAAGUAUGAACUUGAGUCAACUUGAAAUCUAAAAACUCAAAAAUCCUAUCUUAUUUAUAAGUGGAGUUUGAACUUGACAAAAUCGAACUCAUUAAACCCAAUUAACAACAUCAAUGUAAAUUAUACUGUACAAGUAUACAGCCCCUUAUUCCAACAUUCGCUACUCCAUGGCGUGUCGAAUAUAACUCAAAAUCUAUCACCAUUCAUCCUUUUCCCCUUUUUUUUUUGGAAUUUUUUAGUUUAAGUAGGAUGUUUGGAAUUUGAAACCUUUCACUUACACUCCCCUCCUCUCAUUCAUUCUCUCCCCAUUUCACCUACUACUAUUAAUUUCUUUACCAUUUCCUUUUAUAUAACUUUCGUUACCAUUUUCACCCAACGAAACCAAAAUAUCCCAAAAAAAAAUGAGAAAAAAAUCUCUCACACAUCAUCACACAAGUCACACGUAUGAACACAACAAAAGCCUUUUCAUAACAUCAUCUCCACCGUCGCACCCUCACUUUAUACUUCAGUUACACUUGCCAACGUCAACAUCAACUAACCAACAAGAAGUAUAAUGGUCAUUUCUAUAAUGGCAAAAUUGUAACUUCACAUCCUACUCUCAUUUUACUCUUUCUUUUCCUUGGUUUUUUCCCAAACAAAAGAAAGCAAUAAAUUCAAAGCUCGAAGCUUAUAAACGAAAAUCCAUAAUCAAACAGCACAGCUGUUUUUCUUUCUCCUUUUCUCUUCUCUUUUCUCUCUUCUUUCCUGUCCUCUCUCACUUCCCGAGGCAGCAACCAAAAACCACUGCAAAAAAACAUCUGUCGAAGAUUUAUGUUAUCCCAGUUUGUUAAUAAAUUUCAGCUGGAAUGAAAAAAUAUUUACUUACUUUAUGUGUGCAGCUGAUCAUCUCCAGCCUCUGCUCAGAUCUCCCUCGUCCUCUUCACUGUAAGUUUCUUCACUCUUUUGCUUUCGCCUUUGAUUUCUUGUUUUAAUCCGUGUAUAGGCAAAGGCCCACCACCUGAAAACAUGUGUAGAUGUGUUUGGCUUGAUCAUUUUUAUUUUUUUCCUUUUUUGAGGCUACGUGUAUCAUGGGUUUUCCUUUUUUCCUUUGGUUCAUCGAUGUGGUGGUGAUUGAGAUAUUCAUCUGAAUAUUUGUAAAUCAGAGUUCUGGUGCUGUUUACAAAGCUUUGGAUUUUAUGUGCAUAAACUGGUUGGUUUAUCUGCAUUUUGGGUAUGCGUGCCUCUCUAUGUUGUUUUAUGUUCUCAUUCACGGAGCUUUUUGGUGGUGACUGGGAUUGGGACUGAUGUUCAAUUUCUUUCCCAACUGGAUGAUUGUGGAUUUUUUUGGUAUUUGUUUUCCUGUAAGCGCUGGGUUGGGUUUUGGGAGGUGUUGGGGGGGGGGGGAGGAUAAUAUUUUGGAAAGGGCUGGUUUUUUUUUUUUUCUUUUGGGGAAAGGAUUUUGGAUGUUGUGGUUGAUUCUGGAGAAUGGUUUGUGCUAGCUGCAGAAAUUCUUUUUUCUCCCUAAGGGUGCACAGGUUUUUUUGGGUGAUUCUGGAAGGAGGCAAAAUGGUGUUCUGUGGAGGGAUUUGAAUGUCGUGGAUGACUCUGCAGUAGGGUUUUUUUGAUGGCUUUAAUAGUUCUUUUUUCUGUGCAUAUGGGUGUGCGCGCUUUUAUUGGUGAUUAGUGAAGGAGAUGAAUGGUAUUAGGAAGGGAUUUGGAUGUUGUAGAUGAUUUUGGAGUAGGGUUCUGUGCAUUCUGUUGUAGUGCUGUUUUCUCUGUAUGGGCGCACAUGUGACUGCAUGUUUUUUGGGUGAUUAUGGAAGAUGAAACGUCGUUGUUUAUGUUCUUGAAGGAAUUUGUGGGUUGCUGAUGAGUUUGUAGUGGGUUUUUGUGAUGGACCCCAAGAUUGGUUAUUUAUUCGCCACAGUUUGAAGCGGAUUCAAAAGAUCAAUCUAUGGGGUUUUUGUCAAUUGUUACCAUAAGUGUUAUCAAUUUUUUAAUGUCUUCCCUUGCUGUCUGGACAAUUCAAGUAGACCAGUCAGGAUUUGGAAAGUUUUUUUUUUUAACUAAUUAAAUUUCUGGGGUUUACGUUUUUCACUUACAUCUUGCACUCAAUCAUUUGUUAUUUUGUUUUUGCUUUUUACUUUUCCUUAAAAAAGAGGCUAGAGAUAUUUCGGCAUCGAGCCGCUACAUAUGCCUACCUCAUAUAAGUGUAGCUGUGAUUGUUCCGUAAUUUAUAGCUGUGGGUUCUCGAAAAGUCAUAUUUGUCGUUUUACUUUGAUAACUGUGGCAUGCACAUCUGUUGUCGUAUGUGGUUGAGUACAUAACACGUGGUUUAUCAUUCUACUCCUUUGGGAAUCAGAUGUCGUUCAAAUUCUUUUCGGAUAUUCUUUUUUAGACAGUGUAAAUUUGGUCUUCUGCAGCAAAAUGUGUUCAGGGAAUUCAAAAGUGUUGGAGCCUAGAUUAGUCCGUGCUUGCUGAUACAAUCAAUUGCCGAGCAUAAAGCUGACGUAAACACUUGUAUUCCUUGGUUAGUUUGCUCCCAAUGAAUGCAUGUGUGUCAAUUUGUUGUUGGAGAAUUGAAAAUUUUGGUCUUUGGCAUUAAUCUCCUAUAAUCAUGUAGCCUAGGCGUGGGGUGUCCAUCUAAUCGCCACUGCACAAGUUUAGAUUUAAAGCAGAUUCUGAAUAUGCUUCUCGUAGAACAUUUAAUGGCUCAUGGCAUGACGUUGCUUAGACAAUUUGAGAUUUUCUUGUUAUCUUUUGGUGGACUUGCUCCUUGAAGGGAGAUCACCGACAGUGCCCCCCUCCUCUUUCUUACCUAAAAGGAAUAAAAGACACAAAAGUGCCAAAGGAAAGAAAUAGAAAACCAAAAGGAAAUGAGUGAUUGGUUUUCCUUUAAAUUGGAAAAAGGGACGACUGAUCACAGUAUUAGACAUCUGUGAGGAUCAUACUGUUGAUGAUCAUUCUAAGUCAGGAAAAAUGAUACUGCAUAAACUAGUGCAAGACAAAAGUUUGGAAGUGCUUUGUUGUUAUGGGGAUUUCUAUAACUGUUCGCUUUCUGGUAUGGAACAAUUGAUGUACUUGUCUCUGAGGAUAUAUGGAUUGCAAGGCUAAAAGUAAGACAAGAGGAAGCUAACGAGACAGAUAAUUGAACUAUUUUUCUGAGACAUUGCCAGACAUAGUCAUGCUAUGUAUAGUAUUUGGUCAAGGAGUAUCUGUUUUGACCUUGGUGCUAUGGAGAGAAUUCUUCUUAGGUUUCUGACUUGCUGCUAGCAUACUAUGGUUGCAUAUAGGAUUCAACCAUUUUGCUUAUUUCUGUAUCCGAAACAUCCUCAAGGAAUGUUGUUUACGGUCCAACUUUGGAAGAUGCCUUUUUACUAUGCAAAAGAUUGCGUCUAAAUUCACCAAUGCUAUUACAUUUUUUUCUUGGUCAUGUGUUCUGGACACUUAAUCCAGCAUAAGCUUCUCUGUUGUCGGUUUUCUAAAUCCAGUUUGCCUCGAGUGGUUGAAUAUUGGAAUGGAUAUCCAAAAUUUUUCUUGUUGUGGAGAAGCCGUUGAAGAAUAAUAGAGAAAUGGGCAUAUGUGAGUUGUGUUUAAUUAUGACUGACACCAUAUAAAGUUUCUAGCUGUUGUCUAUCUUCUUAACGAGGCUUCCGUAUGGUCAAAAGCACAACUAUUAUGUCUGGAGUUAGUUAUCCUUGCUCAGAAGGGUACUGAUCUGUCUGGGUAAUUAAUCUGUUUGGAACAUGGAAAGAAAUAUUCUUCUAUUAAGAAUGAUGAAGGUCAGAAUAUGUUUCUUCUUUUCCUAAUACAGAGGUCGCACGUAAUUCAGCUGAUGUAGACGCUUCAAUAAGUAUCAUGGGGUGCAAAUUUGUAAUGUAUUUGUCUUGCCUCCUAAGGUUAAAAGUGGUUCUUCAAAAUAAAGAAAUGAUAAUGCUUCUUCAUGAUGAAUUGAUUGAUAUACUUGUAAGGAGGGAGAGUAAGUACUGUUUCAUGUGGUUUAGACAAGUAUAGAUUUUGUAUAGACGUUUCAUUUAAAUUCUUUUGCUGUUGAAAAUAAGUCAGUUAGUAAAUAGUUCAGGCAUCCAGAAUUCUAAUAUAGUUUCUGCAAGGAAGGACAUUAUUUUGGACAGCUGAUCAUGUGAUCCAACAUAUACGCUAAGGUUAUGGCUAGUGAAGGCCUCGGUGCCGUUUUAUUUGUUCGAGUUGCUUAAUGUAUAAAUGCUCAACUUCUGUGAAAGGUUGUGCAAUCUGUUUUAAAAGGACAUACUUGUUUUGCAUGUUCUGCCUCAUAUAUUUUGGUAUCAACUUCUCAUAGUGGUAAUAUCUCAGGUUAGAUGAUUGGUUGACUGAAUACCGUCUUUGGAGGGGAAUGAUUCUGAGCUUGAAUUUGUCAAUGAUGGUGACUUACUUGGGUAUAAUCUGAUGUCAUCCUAGUUAAGUUCCUGCCAUCAACUUCCUUUUUGGGUGCUGAGACGGUAGCAAACCUGAAGAUUACUGGGGAAUGAAGCACUUAUAUUGCUUUACUCAUCCCUUGUCUUUUUUUAAUUCAGGUAUUGAGGACACCUCAAAUGGAACCGCGAUCAUUUAAAGUUAAAUUUAAGGUGAACCAUGGAGGAGGUUCAGCGAAUAAUUCUACAGAAGAUAGUUGCCAUACAAGCAUUAUAAGGGAACAAAGUGAUCCAAGUGGACCUGCUUCCUCUGCUGUCCCUGAGACUACUCAGACUACAAUUGAUGUAUCUUAUGGGGAAGGGGAAGAAGGCCAUUGCACUGACAAUGAAGAGAAUCAAUCACAUGAAAAUGCACAUAACCAGUUGGUGCUCUAUGAUCCUCCAGUUAAUGGUGUGGGUGAAAUUAUUCAUGUUCCAGAGCCCAUUGCAUCUGAAGCCCCUUCUUCACGAAGAUACUCCUUUCAUCAAACAACCAGGGUUUUGCCAUCAGUUGGAGCAUUUACUGUUCAAUGUGCUAACUGUUUUAAAUGGAGACUUAUCCCAACAAAGCAGAAGUAUGAGGAAAUUAGAGAACAUAUUUUAGAGCAUCCUUUUUUCUGUGAAACCGCUCGUGAAUGGCGCCCAGAUGUAUCAUGUGAUGAUGAGCCUGAUAUCGAACAAGAUGGCAGUAGGCUUUGGGCAAUUGAUAAACCCAGUAUUGCCCAGCCUCCUCCUGGCUGGCAAAGGCUUUUAAGAAUCAGAGGUGAAGGAAGCACCAAAUUUGCAGAUGUGUAUGUCUCUCUCUCUCUCUCUAUAUCAUUUUCGUAUCCUUUUGACUGCUUUUUCACUUGAGCCGUGGAGCUGAAACUUAAGUUUCCUUUUGAGCUAUUUACAGUUACUAUGAGUCUCCAUCAGGCAAGAGACUGCGUUCAAUGGUGGAAAUUCACAAGUAUGAAUUCUUUAUUUUGUUCUUGUGGAUUGCUCUCUCUCUCUCUCUAGGUGGUUCAUGUGAAAGUAUUAAUCUGCCGAAGAUGUUCUCUCAGCGGUUCUUUGUCUGCAUAUUUUAUCUCUACCAUCUUUUAGGUACUUGGAGGAACAUCCUGAGUAUUACGAGGGAGGUGUUACUUUGGCGAGAUUUUCAUUUCAAAUCCCGAGACCAUUGCAGGAAAACUACGUGAGAAAACGUCCUCGACCAGUGCCGUCAAAUGGGGAGAAAGUACAAGAACUUGGAGGUGAAUAGUCUUUUCUUGUGUAUGAUACAAUCUUAACAAGCCAUCUCUGGGAAGAUUAGACCAAUCAAUUUUGCCUCACCAUGCUUUAAGCUUCUUAGAUCAUCUUUAUCUUAUGACCAAUUUUCUUUUUUUUUUCUAGCAAGAAAAGUUGAUCAGCUUUGACAUAUUGGAUGCAUUUUUUUAUAAUAUCAGUCUGGAAGCUACUAGAUAAAUCACUUCUGUUGGGUCUGUUGUUACCUUUGCUUGUUGCAGCUUUAUGUGGUUACCCUGUUUAUACAAAUUUGUUAUUUCGGCUUUUAUAUUGAGUUGCAUUCUGGUUACAAUGAGUUCUUCUAAAAUAUCAUUACUUCUUUUGCAGUCAAACCGAUAAGUUGGGCAGCUCCAGAUGAGGAUAUAGAUUUGGAGCUUGGGAGGUCAAGUCAUCCUACUCCUUAUGAGGAUACUCUCCCUGUGUCUGACUAUCAGCUAGUGAAGAAAAAGAGGACACCGUCUAAGAAAAGAUGUAAUGGUGAUUCAUUAGGCAGUUCAAGCCAGGUGAAUGUGGAAGAGAGUCUUCAUCUCUGAUUUGGGUGCCUGUGGCCCAAACCUGUCUGAUACCUAUUGAGUUAGCUGAUGUUCAGCACAUUUGCAGUUCAGGUUUUGUGGAGACGUGUCUAGGCUUAUGUACUUAAAGAAACUUGUGUUAUGUUGAACUUUUGUUAUAGUGUUUUGGUUUUGUUACUCCCUAGUUGGAGAUAAAGGUACAUUAAGUCAAAGACCAUAUUUUGAAUGGCAUGUUUGGAAAGUGUAUGUAAGAAAAUUUCAUGUGGUAGUUUAUACAAUAGAUAGUUCUUGCUAGGUUCAUAUGAAUGUGUUCUCAGCAGCUGAUGGUUUAAGACUAGUAUCUCUACAUUGUCUAGGUUGCUUUGGAUGAAUGCUGUACUUGGCGCUGUUUACAGCGUUUUUCUGGUGCGAAAUUAACAUGUAAUUCACCACCAAAUCUUAAGAUAUCAAGACUUGGUGGUAUGAGAAUUACAUUUUGAUUUCACUACCAAAUUAGAAGCUAUUGAGACUUUCUAAUCCAGGAUGUAACAUAAGGGUGAAGAGCCUACGACGCUUUGUGAUGGAUGAAAACCUUUGUUUGUUGGGGGGGGGGGGGGGGGUUUGGUUCUUUAUUAUUAAAUGUGUGCAUAUGGAUGGAGUAUUUGCUGGAAAGAAAAAUUAUCUCUCGUCAAGCACUGUUUGGAUUGUAAAUUAUUUGUCAAAAUUUAUUUGCUUAUAUCAUCAUUACAAUUUUCAACACACCUUUUUAUCUUUUCAAUUACCUUUUUAUCUCACAUACAUCACAUCACAAAAAGUGUUACAGUAAAAAUAUCUCAAAUAAUUUAUAAUUCAAACAAGUUGCUUAGAUUUUGGUGGCUUGCUUUUAUAGUUGUUUGUUGUCUGGGGAAGCAAUCAAGUUUGAGGCUGUGUAUGUAACCUAAUCCAGCAUGAGCCAAGGAAAAACUCCAAGCACUCAAAGUUGAUUGCAGCAUAAGCUUGACUAACGCUACAGGCUGAUUGAUGUGAAAACUUUUCAAGCAUCAGUUGAACUGGUAGACAUAUGAGCUCACUGGUUUCUCCAUGUUGGUAAGAGUUAUUAGUCAAUCACUAUGUAUAAUUAAAGAAAUAAGUACUCCAAGCUCAGUGAAUUUGACAAACUUUGAGCCAAGUAUUGAAGUUCUAGAGUUUUAGCCACCAUUACAAGCUUAUUUAUGUAUCGCUCUUAUGAUGUUUCCUUUCAUUUAAGUUGGUAACCUAUUUAGGAGCAUGGAUCUCUUCGUGAAACUUUGGCCGUCAACUAGAGCUAGCUUCAUUUAUGUCGCAAUGCUAACUUAUGAGAGGUUAGAACAAAUGGGAACUGCAGAACCAAAUGAUCUUUUAAUUGCAGCAUAGCACCAAAAUUGAUGAAUAUAAAAAACAAUUGACAAAUGAGAUAUAUCUCUGAACAAUAGCAUCGAAAGUAUUGCAGCGUACUAGGGUUGCAAACGAAUCGUGCCACUCGUGAGCAACUUGAAUCAGAAUUCGACUUAAACUUAGUCAAUAUCAAACUCGAGUCGAGUUCGAGCCGAUCAAGUUGAACUCGAGCUUGAACUUGGACUCAAAGAUAUUCAACUCGUUAGUUCGCGAGCCGGCUCAAUAAUAUAUAUAUAUAUAUAUAUAUAUAUAUAUAUAUAUAUAUAUAUAACGAACUCGAAUUCGAACUUGAGUUUAAAGAUAUUCAAUUCGUUAGCUCACGAGUCGGCUCGAUUAUAUAUAUAUAUAUAUAUUAUUUUUUAUUUUAAUAAUAAAAUUACAUAUAUAUUUCUAAUAUUUUAUUUUUUUUAAGAAAAAUUAUUAUUUUAUUCACUUUUUUAAAAUUUAAAUAAUUAUUUUUUUAUUUUUUUAAAUUCGAGUCGAGCUCGAAUUCAAGUUCGAGUUUUAUAAAAUUAAAUUGAGAUUCGAUUCGAUUAGACUAAAACUCAACUCAAUUUGACCUGUUUGCACUCCUCGAGCGGAGUGGGAGGUGUAUGGAAGCAGCAAAAGAUUGGGAAGUGGACCAGGGGCAAGAAUGGUUUUCUGGCAAUUAUGUUUAUUUUGCACAGCGUGCAACUUUAUUUGCACACAGCGUGAUUUUGUUUGCAUAAUGUGUAAUUUUAGCAUAAAUUUUUGUGAACCCCACACAUUAUUAAAAAUGAAGUACAAAAAAUGAACAGCUUGUGAACCGUACAUUUUUUUUUUGGUCAAAUUUUGAUCAUGAACAGCUCAGGAACGAUCCACCUGAUGACCGUCCUGCCCGGUAUCCAUUGGGAAGUGGGCAGGCUAAUAGCAACUCCUCACAUUUAUUGCGUUAAUUGCUACUCGCAGAAAGUGGAACUUGGUUACAAGUUUGGUCCCCCAACAUGUGCCAUCCAUGAGCUCAUCAGUGCUCCUCAACUAUCCUACUUUCAAGCCUCUUGUCCGACAAGCAUGCUACACUAAGUUUGACUAUUGCUGAAAAGCAAGAGUUUACUUACAUGCCUAGAACAUCUACAUCAUUGUUUUAUGCAUACAUUGCAACCAGCCUUAGGCUUUGUUUAAUAAUUCAAUUCAAUACUUAAAUUUAAUAAGUUCAAAUCUUAACAGGUUCAGAUGUGUUUGAUAAUUAAAAAUUGAAUAUUUAAAUUAAUUAAGUGACACUGAAUUUUUUAACCAAAAUUUGCUCUAAAAAAUAAGUGAUGAACUAUUCACUUAUCACUUAAUAUGAUACACACUCAAAUGUAUUAGAUUUAGUACUUAACAAUUCAAUGACUUAAUGAAUUCAAACUUCAGAUUUCAGAUUUCAAUUUUCAGUUUUCAGAUUUUAAUUUUAUCAAAUGCACCCUUAGUUGCAUAUGGAGUGUGUGUGCGUGCAUGAAUGUGUGCCUAACUAGGGGAAACUAGAUCAGUCAGAAAGACAUAAUGAAGGAGAAUGACAAGCGCAGAAGUGAAUAGGUAGAUAACCUGGACAAACCAUAUUACUCUAUGGCCGCAGAAAUAACAAUUAUAGAGUGAGACUAGUAAAGAGAAGACAUUCACCCAGCACAGUGAUCAUCAUAAAAUUCAGAAUGAGUACAAUGGGGAGCUUAUAUAACAGAAUCCCAUAUGCGGACCUUUUCCACUUUGAGUCAGUUUGAGAAAUUGAGAGUGCUGGAAGCUUCACAGAAUUAUUAGGAAGCUAGGCGCCUGCCCACCCAAUCUCCUCACCUUAACUCCCCAAUGGGAUGAUGGAGAGAACCAUCAUGCUUAGAAUAUCAGACGACUGAGAUAAUGCAUCUAUCAGCAACUGCCAUUGCCACGGUAUCACUUCUCUUGGUCUCUGGUCAAUGUGCUGCUACCGUAGCAUCAUCUUACCUGCAUCCAACUAGUCAAUUUAGCAACGACAACAUGCAUAGAAAGUACAGAAAAAGAAAUAGACUUGGCGCAUUACAUGUAACAACCCACUUUGCUCCUGGAGGUCAAGAUUUUUUGCUCCAGUAGAGUUUGUGGCAGAACAACGAUCUUGGAAUUGCCCAUAAUUUUCAUGCACAUAUGCCAUUUCUAUCACCUAGACAUUGCACACUAGAAGGGAACAAAGAAGAUGAUCAGAAGCUCCACUGAUGACAACACCUUUGUCUCUGACCUGCAGCAUAUAAGCCAAUGCUCCUCCGGAGAUCACUUCACCAGGAAUAAGUAAUGGUAUCCCUGGCGGAUAAGGACAUAUUAGUUCACCGCAUAUUUGGCCAAUGCUAUCUUUUAUGCCAACUUUUGUUUUUUGAGCAAAGAAAGCCUCUCUUGGGCUUAAUCUCAUGCUGAAAUCAUUAAAGGGCAUGACAUGGUCAGGAUUCUCACUGUAUUUUGUGCAAUUAGAAGCUGCUGAUAUUGCAGAUAGGUGCUUCAGUCCUGAUAUAAACCUCAAGACAUGUUCUCUUUGAGUCCCUAGGUUAAAUGCUAGAGUGAUAGAUCGUGUCCCAACAAGUUCAGAAACAACCCCAAAAUCCUUGCUUAAAAUAUCAUCAGCCUCAAAACCAGAGAGACCAAGCUGUUUUGUGCCAAUUGUGACUCUCAACGGAUCCAUAGCAGGAAAGUGAGGAAAGCUAGCAAUGUCAAGGACUGAGACGUUGCGAAUUUUACUCAUUCUACUUCUUGCUUCCAUGGCUAACUCAAUAGCGUUGUGGAAAAUAAUGUCUUUAUUUUCACUAACUUGAGCCCUAGCAGCAUCCAAUGAUGCUAAAAGAAGAUAACUAGGGCUACUACUUUGAAGCAUUUGAAGGCAUCUGCAUAUUCUAUCGCUGUCAAUAAGAUCUCCUGACCUGUGUAACAUUGACGACUGUGUCAGAGAGCACAAAACUUUGUGAGUAGACUGUACCACAAGAUCGGCGCCUUGACAGAGAGCUGAGUCGGGCAAUAGCUCAUGAAAUCCGAAGUGUGCACCAUGAGCCUCAUCAACAAUCAGAGGGAUCCCGUGAGAAUGGCAUAGCUUAGAUAUUUCAGCCACAUUGCUGCAAAUGCCAUGGUAAGUAGGAGAUACUAUAAGAACUGCACCGGCUCUUUGACCUUUCAUUUCCAGUUCCUCUAUUGCUUUUUCCACCUGCAACAACAAAUAUCUUGAGUUCUAAAAUGUUUACUUGCCAGAUAAAGCACCAUUACAUACCGCCACUUGAAAGUGCAUUAAUCAGAUUAUAGCACUAAAAAACUUCUCAUGUUUAAGAUAUUGUUCCUAGACACAAGAAUGGCACUUUGACAGGACAAAAUGGCACUAGAAUCACCAACUGAACAUUUUACACCAAACUUGCCUGUGAUGGAGUGAUGCCACCAGGAAUAUCCCAAUCGGCAUCAUAAUCAGGCAAGAUGUACUUUGGCUGUACACCGGACAAUAUCAUCCCAGAUAUGGCUGAAAUAUGACAGUUACGUGGAAGAAUGAUAUUGUCUCCAGGUGAACAAGUGGCCAUAAUAGCUGCAUGGAUUCCACAUGUACUACCCCCAACAAGGAACCAUGUCUCUGAUGCUCCAAAAAGUUCAGCUGCUUGUUUUUGUGCUUCUAAAAUGGGUCCUUCUGGAGUAAAGAGGUUGUCAAGCUCUGGGAGCUCAGGUAAAUCAUGAAGAUAUGGUUGUUUACCAAUGAGCUCGCUGAACGAUGAUGGUGCUGCUUGCCCUCUAUUAUGUCCCGGAAAGUGAAAACUAGCAGCAUUUUCGGCAGCUGAGGCUUUUAAAGCACCAACCAAGGGUGGAAGCCUGUAGUCUUGAAUUAUUUCAGAAACAUUAGUUGGAAUAUUAUGCAUUGAGACAGACCCUUUCAUUUCUCCCUGCCUCUUCGUGUCUUCCUUUCUUCCCAAAGCCAUGUGAUACUCAUCCUGUAAAAGAUUUUAGAAAAAAUCAGAAACUCGCAACUUGUAGAUAUUCAUCUCUAUUAAAUGAUUGAGCAGAAUAUAAAUAUCUAGCUUAGACUUGAAAAUUGGCCUUGACAGUAUACAAGAUUCCCAGCUGCUUCCUCAUGGUAAAGUUUCCAGCAAUUAAUACAUGCAACACUAAAGUGGAGUUAUCCUAAGAUGAAGAGGAUUUACACGCACAAUUACUAAACUUAGACAGAUGUGUAUAGUUAUUAUGUAUCUCUACAGGUAAACAGGUUCAUAUAAGGAACUUCUGACAAACGUAAACCGUCUGAAAUCGUCAAUUUGGUUGGCAUUAGAGAGAAAUGGUAACAGUAAAAUAUCAAGUAGUUGAACUAAGCCUAGAGAAGAAUUAAAUUGACUUCUUCUUAUCUAGGUCUCAUAUAAAAUGUGAAACUUGCUAGUAAUGACAACAUUCAAAGCAGAGACAACCAACAAUUAGAAAUUUUAUGCUUCAACAGGGAAGGGCUAGCAUAUUGCCCAUUGAAUGAUUAACUCAAACAUCCACCAACAGAGAUCUAACUUCCAUGCUUUAAAUUGAUGCUUAAUAACCCACUAAAAUCCAGUUUGCCAGUUAAAUAAACUACAUAUAUUCACUGAAGUGCAUCUUUUGCAUCAAGCAAUUAACUUUUGUAACAUAGAAUGGUUUCAAGUGGAAUCCUACAAAUCCAUUCUGGAACAGUUUUCUUGGUGUUCUGAGGCAUAUUGACACACUAAGAAGAGAAAUGCAGUUGAUGUUUCAUCUGCUAAAUGUUCUCCCUUAAUGCAAAAAUUUAAGCCACACUCAGAAUUGGGUUAAUAGAAGCUAAGAUACUGGCCUUUUUUUUUGGUGGGAAGAUAAAAACCCAAAAAUAACUAUUACAUGACAUCAACUGGACACUAUCAACACUCAAAAGCUCCUAAGCUAGCAACAAACUUGGACAAAUAUACAAGCCAUCUUGAAUGCAUCAAACCAGCCAACAUUUAUUUCAUCCCAAAAAUCGGAGCAAGUUCAUGUUAUCCUAUAAAACCGAAGAACCCAUAUUACUCACAUAGCACACGACCGUACUAUCCAAAGACAAAAAUCAAUUGAUUUUAAUCCAAUGUCUCGGACUGUGGUCGUGGCUGCUACUACUGAAAUUAUUUCCAGAUUCCAAUAUGUAAAAUUACAUUAUCUACUAAAGUUUAUGGAGAACAAAUCUUCUGCUGUCUAACAACACUCCAUUAGGGUCACCACCAUUCAUUCAACAUUAUCAAAACACAGAAUUACAUAUUCAUAAUAAGUCACCAAAACAUCACAACACAUCAAGCAAUUUCCACUCCAGUGUCCACCUUAAAUUACGUUAUUUAUGAAAAUCACGAUUUCACAUUGCAACAAAAUCAUUGAAUUCCAUCAUAUUCCUAUGCAAACAGAGUUAAAAAAGCAGAUAUAAUCAGACUUCACAAGACCAUUUCUCAUAAGAGUUUCUUGUUGAUGCAGAACAUAAGUAGAAUAAAGAGUUGUGCACAAUUUCAAACAGAAACAGACAAUUCUGAGAGAGAAAAAGAAAACCCACUUGCAGAAUACAAGCUUUUGGUCUCUCAUUAAGUUUGGAGCUCCACCCACUUCCAAAACUCGGACUAAAGCUCUGCCAAAGUGCCAGUUCUGUUAGCAAGAAAACAGUCUUACAAUACAAAGUCCUUCCUGGGAUUGAAUUGUUAGAGAUGUCAAAGCAUAUAAUUACAAGGACAACAUGCAAGUAACUGUGUGUGUGUGUUGAAGCGAGGGAAGGAGUCUUACCAAACGGAGGAGAGGCGAAACCAUUGCAGCUUCAGGGGUUCAAAUGCUGUGUCUCUUUGGCUUAUGGCUUUUUUAUAUCUUUAUAUUUUUUUUUUUUGGCUUUUUGGUCAGUUUUGGUUAUUUACGUAGAGCUAUAUGGUUUCAGAGCUUAUUUGGUUUUCCAAAUUGUUUUUUUGUUAUUUUUUUUUUGGGUAUUGAAGGUAAAAGAAUUACUAAGGAUAUGUUAUUAAAUUACCAAAAAUGACAUCAACCCAAUUUUUUGAUUGUUUUUAGUCAAAAGUUGCCUCUUUUUUUUUUUUUUUUUCAAAAUUUGGUUCUUGCUUCGGUUGAUACAGAAAAUAGUUUUAAUGGGAUCCAAGAUUUAGUCAAUAUUGUAUUCUUUUCUUUUCAAUUGAUCUUUUGGUGGAAGGAAACUUUGAAUCUUAAAAUAAAGGGAUAAUAUCAGAAAUCUCUCCUGAGAUUUCUCUCACUAUCAUUUAAUACUCCUAAGGUUUUAAAAAUAUCACUUACCUCCCUUACUUUUGUUCUUUGUGUAACAAAAUUUUUAAAAUCUCUAAACUACCCUUUUGCUUAUUUUACUAAAUAAAAGCACUCCUAAACUACUUUGUUUACUCCAAGAAAAAUCAUAACCAAAAAAAGAAUUUCUAACAGUACCACCACAUCAUAAAGUUAUAGUCCAUAAAAAUAUAAAUUAGGAAAACUAAAAAGAUAUUUGUAAAGAAAUACACUAGUACCGAUUUAACUCUAUUUGCUCGAAAUUGAUUUCUUAUGAACCACAUUUUUAUUCUCAACUUCUUCUCAAUUCGUAAUAUAAACCUUUAAAUUGUACUAAAUCAUUAUAAAAAUUUAUUCAAAAUAAAAAAAGAAAUCAUACCCUACUCUAUCAUAAUCAUAAAAAUAAAAGGUAAAUAAAAUUUAAUUUACUAAAUUUACAAAUAAAAAAUCACAUAGUCAUCCAAAAUGAAAUGAGUAGGAGAACAUGUUGAAGAAAGGGGAAAGAAAAGAAAGCGGAUUUCGUUUCCUUUUCUUUAAUUUUUUUGAGUUUCAUUUAUUUGAUAUAUGAAUUAUGUAUCCAGUGAAUAUUAAUAUAAUCAUUUUGUAAUUACAAGAGAAGGUAAGUGUUGUUCUUAAAAUCUCAAAAGCGCUAAAUAAUAUUAUGAGAAACCUUAGAAGAGGUUUCUAGUCUUAUCCCUAGAAGAAAAUUUACUACUGUACUAAUUUGUUUGUGUAGCUUUGGAUUUGGUUAGAGUUUUCGAAAAAAAGCAAGUGAAUUAAAGGUUUUUGUUUGUUCAUUUUCCUACUGUCUUAUUUCAUGUAGCUUCAGCAAGGUUGCAGUGCUGGAGUGGUGAAUUACUAAGGUCCCAACUGGUAGGCCGUAAGAUGGUGAUCUUUUAGGUUGAAAACAUGGGGAAGCCCAAUAUUGAUCCUGACACUCAAUAGUUUAAAAACUAAUAAGCCCAUGAAGGAUUAAUAGGAAGUGUUCUUCCAAACAACACUCUUUUCAUUUUUAUUGAAAGCGUGAUAUUUUCCUUUUUAAUCAAUUUUACAAUUAUAUUAUCAUCUUAUCAAAUUUUAGCAAAAGGCUAUUAUUUCAUUUCCAAGCUGCAUCCCUGGUUAUUAUUAAUUCUUUAUUGUGUAUAUGAAUUUUCAAAAUCUUAAAAUCAAGUAUUAGAUAAAGUGUGUCCAUUGCAUAUCGAAAUAUGAACUAUAAAAGUUGUAUUAGGUGUAUUUCACGAUCAAUGUUAAAUCCAAUCAUCCAUAUGGACGAUAAAUGAUUGUUAAUAUGUUAUACUUUCCUUCUCAGACAAGGCAAAACACAGAAUAUGCCAUUUCAGUGACUUUGUCUUGAUGCAGGCAAAGUUGGAAAGAAGCAAUAAAUCACAUUUACUUUUACUGCUGUACAUAAAAUGCACGGAUUAAACAUGAAAAAUAUUAUGGGGCGGAGGGAGUAUUACAAUUUGAUUUGUUCCUUCCAAAGAAUUUAGAGUCCUUAAACUUAAUUCAACUAAUCAGGCCUUAAACAUUAAUCAGGUGAUCAUGAAAUUCUUACGUAUUUAUCGUCUUUGAUUUUUUUCAAAAUUUAGUUUCCUUAUUUAACAUACUUUUCUACGACAAAAAUUAAUGUCGCCAUAAAAUCCCACUAACCAAAAUGUAUCAAAAACUUUUAUCUUCUUGGUCCUUGGAUUUUGAUUCUUUCUAUGGUUUUAUGCCACUUUGCAAUUAAGCUUCUUUUUUGUGACGAUUUAUACCUAAACAUAUAUAUAACCUGUUAAUUUUGUCCUAUUAGCAAUUAAGUAGAAGUUUAGGUAACAAAGUGGCAUUAAGAAAGAGUUUUUAAGUUGCAAACUGUGAAAGGUUCUUUAUUUGAGGUGCAAGAUGAUCACGUUAAUUCUUCUUAAUUUAAGAAACAUUUCCUAAUCUAAUUGAGCAGUUCUUUCACUUACGUAGUCCUGUAAAUAUCUAAAUCGUUCGAUUUAGUAAAUCAUUUUUUUGAAGGAAUUUUUUUUUGUAAAUCUUUGACCUGGAUUCUUUCUAGAAGAGAUAUUAGCUAAUAAGAUGAUUGAUUAGAUGUUGACUAAUCAUGAACCAGAAAUGUAAACAAGAACAAAACAAUUGCAGCAUACAACAGCAAAUCUAGGUUGUUCAAAAGAGGAAAAGUAUUAAAAGAACAAAAGUAAAGAAAUAAAAGACUUAAACUCGUUUUUCCAAACUAUUUUUGUUUUCUAAGCGAAAAAUUGUCAAGACUUUUAUUGGCAGUUUCAACUUCUUUUUCUUCCCAAUCUUUGCAUAUUAAUCUCACGUUAAAUAUCACUAAUGCCACUUUCAUAACUUUUCAAGUUUUAAUAAAUUAUGAAACGCAUAAGAAGAAAAAUGUUGCAUGAAAAGGGAUAAGUCCUAAUGAAUGUAUUAUUAACCAAGAAAUCGACAUUCAAUUUAAGAUUUACAUAUCUUCAAUUGUAUCUUACACAAAAUCAUUCCAAAACAAACAGAACUUAACCCAAAAACGCUCAAUAUCAUCUUCUUCAAUGUGCUUUAAAUUCCUAACCAUACCCUCCCAAUUUAGGCCAUAACCAAAGCCAAAGGUCCAAAACCUCCUCGUGCAGGUGCCUACGUACGUUUUCACUCUCAAGAAAAAUUAAAUUAAACCCUCAAAAAAAUGGCCAAAGAAUUCCACCCUCUUCUUCUCAUCAUCUUCCUCUCUUUCUUGAUUUCCUCUACACUUUUCGACGUCUCAUUGACGAUGGCCGCCGACGACUCCGACGAGGACUUUAGCCCUGCCGAUGCUUUCCGUGCACUAGACCCUAAUGACCCUUUGGUUGUCACGAUAGCAAAGUUUGCAGUGGAGGAAAAUAACAAGCAAAAGAAAGAAAAUAUCCAGUUUGCGACUGUUUUAAAAGCUGCAAGCCAACAAAUUGGAGCAAAAACUGAGUAUGGCCUCCUUAUUAAGGCAGAUGAAAAUGGUACUUCGAACACCUAUGUAGCAGUUGUCUUGGACGGCAAAAAUUCUGGGAGGGAGCUCGUUGGCUUUACAAAGCCAAACUUGGCAGUUUAGGUGAUAAGAUAAUUUAGCAACUGCCAGAGUUAAAUUUGUAUUAUGGAGGGUGACAUAAUGAUCAUAUAGGUGUGAUUGUUUGUUUUCUUUUUGUUAGUCAUCUAACAAGACAGGAGGUGGAUUGGAAAUGGAGUUCCGAUGCAUAUGUUUCUACCACUAUUAUCUAUGAGAAACCUAAUUUGUCUUUUCCAUUAGAAUAACUUGCAACAAAUCUAUGAAUAAAAUUUGCCUAAUUUGACUUUAUUUUGGGCUGAGUGGACGUUGUUUUUUGAUGAAUAUGUUUUGCAUUUACUCGGACAAAAAUCCUUUACAAAUGCAGUUAUUUAGAGAUGUUCUUUUCGCUUGUGUCGCAUUAAUUUUGACUUAGUUCGUCUCUCUUUCACUGAUACUGUGGAAGUAGUAUAAACAUAGAUCUUGGGAAAUAUUUGGAAUGACAUGCUUAGAAUUUGGAGUACUCUGUCUGGAAAAGCAUAAAAUAGAAUUAGGUCCGUAAUCUAAUCUCAACAAACUCAAUAUCAAAUAGUAAAACUUGAUUUGAGCUCUUAAUAAACUUGAAAUUUGUGCUUGAUUUUGGUUUAAUCACCUGCCAUCUCAAACUCAAAACAAACUUUUUUCUUAUGAACUAAAUUUUCGAGUCAGAUUUGCGUAAAUACGUAAAGCUCACGUUUUAUGUAGUAUAUGAAAAUGAGCUCGAUUGCUACAUUUGUUGAUGCUUUGUGUUCUAGUUGUAUAAACAAAUUCUGAAUUAACUUUUCUUCAAGAAACUCAGGCAUAAUUCUUUUUACAUCCAUAACCAAAACCACAGGAAACCGUCUUAUAGGAGUAAAUCAACUUCAAUGCCACUAAACUGUGUUACUUGAACGCCUCACCUUGACUGACCAUUUGUACCAGGCCUGGUGCGUUAUCCUUAUGAGUCACUAGCUACUAAAUCCAUUUGCUGCAUUAAAAUAGACUUUAGUCACUAUAGUACCACACUAUGUCUAUGGGUGUGUAUUUAUAAUAUUGCACCUUGCAAGUGAGUAACACACAACAUGAAUGGGGGCAUGUUAAUAAAAUUGCACCCAAAAAAUAGCAUAGGAGAUGAAAUGAGAUUUAUUGAUAACUCAAUUCAGCACAAAAAUUUAAUGGAAUCAGAUCUUAACAUAUUCAAAUCGUUUGAUAAUAAAAAAGUGAACAUUUGAAUUAAUUAAGUGGCAAUGAAUUUUCUAAGCAAAACUUGUUCCUAAAAUUAAGUGAUAAAUUCUUUACUUAUAAGCACUCAAAUAUAUUAGAUUUAAUACUUAACAAUUUAAUAACUUAAUGGAUUCAGAUUUCAGAUUUCAGACUUCAGACUUCAGUUUUAUCAAAUGCACUUAGUGAGGUGCCACACCUUUUUGGAAAUUUUUGGAAAUUAAUCAAGGAAAAAGAGCAGUUCGAUCCUCAUUAUUUGGCUUUAUGUCAAAUUGAUCCCUCACAUUUCGAGCAAAACGAAGGUUUAUGAGCUUAUUAGUCAUCAUAUUUGAUCGAUUUUAUCUUAACUCCAUUCUUUUUGUUAAUCGAUCAACGGCCAUCAUUUCAUUCUUUUCAUCAAUCAGUUUCCUUCUUGUAAUUUCUUUCUGAAGUUUGUUCAAGUCAUCAUCAUUUCCUCCUCAUCUAUUUCCAUCCUUUGUAUUGUCCUUUGGUUUGUCGUUCUAUUUUCAUCCUUUUUGUUAUAAUUAAUCAUCUAUUUGUUUUUCGUCAUUGCUGAAAUCAAUCUUGACUGCUAACCAACUUGCAUACCACCUGCUUCUAUUGCGAUUCAUCUUCUUCAGGUCAGCUGUUAAUUUUAAUUUCACUUCUUCUUUUUUUUCUUCCUCUUCUUCCCUUAUUAAGUCAUUCAAAAUUUCCGUCUCUAAUCCUUCAUUUGCAUAUUUCUCUCUGCUUUCUUUCCCUUUAUUUUUUUUUUGGGUUGAAUACAAAGCACUUUUGUGCUGGUAUGAUUUAGUCGCUUAUAUUUACAUGGACCAUUAGUAAUAUACUUGUGAUCGUUGAAGCUUCACUUGUUUUCUUCAGAUAGGUAUGCUGUUCUGGACUUCGAUUCUACCGUCUAGUCCUUUUUCAGGCCCUUACUCGAGGAAUGAAAGUUAUACCCUCAUUGAUCCUGCUGGUUAUCUCUUUCAUUCUAUUGCUGCCUUUCCUGCUUGUGCAUGAUCAACUUUUAAUGUACUAAACAUUUUCUUCUUCUGAUUAUGACUUUUGAGCAUGUUACAUGACAGAAAAAAGUCUGUUACAAGACGAUGGAUAAGAUCCAACACCUAAAAUGAUUUGCUUAUGACACAAUCACAUUACAAGUUGAUCUGCAAAUACCCCAUCCUCCAUACUAAUUAUCCUCUAAUACAUCAUGACAGACAAAAUCCUGAACCUUCUAAAUAAGGACAAUAUAAGCUACAAAAGAGGAAUGGAUGUUCUAAUGAGCAGGGUGCAAAGCUGCUGAACAGAUUGCUACAAAAAUGUUCAUCACGAUUAUAAUGAAAAUUUGCGUAGCCUUCAAUCU